CUGAAAGACUCACCUUUGACAUUCAUAAACAAUAUAAUAAUAUCAUCACUCACAUAACGAAAACCUUAAUAAUUAUCAAUCUGAGAUUACAUGCAUUGUUAUUUGUUAAACACCCUAUUUAACCAUAGGCUUAAACGAGGUGAGACUCUUGAAAUGCUCCCAUGGCUUCUCCCAAACGACAGCUUCAAAUUUCUUGGUCGAAGGUCCGUCCUUGACGACCAAGAUCAGCCGGUAAUUGGUGCCGGAAACCACCUGAGUCUCGGCCUUCUCCACGCUCUCGAACUUCAACGCGCUCUUUGACCGUUUGUUGUACUCUGUCACCGCGAACUGCCCGAUCUCCAUCACGUGCUUCUCCGUGGGGUCUAUCGGAGUCCAUCCCCCAAAUAUAGGCUUAAACGAUGUGAGACUCUUGAAAUGCUCCCAUGGCUUCUCCCAAACGACAGCUUCAAAUUUCUUGGUCGAAGGUCCGUCCUUGACGACCAAGAUCAGCCGGUAAUUGGUGCCGGAAACCACCUGAGUCUCGGCCUUCUCCACGCUCUCGAACUUCAACGCGCUCUUUGACCGUUUGUUGUACUCUGUCACCGCGAACUGCCCGAUCUCCAUCACGUGCUUCUCCGUGGGGUCUAUCGGAGUCCAUCCCCCAAACAUAGGCUUAAACGAGGUGAGACUCUUGAAAUGCUCCCAUGGCUUCUCCCAAACGACAACUAACAAUUUCUUGGUCGAAGGUUCGUCCUUGACGACCAAGAUCAGCCGGUAAUUGGUGCCGGAAACCACCUGAGUCCAGGCCUUCUCCACGCUCUCGAACUUCAACGCGCUCUUUGACCGUUUGUUGUACUCUGUCACCGCGAACUGCCCGAUCUCCAUCACGUGCUUCUCCGUGGGGUCUAUCGGAGUCCAUCCCCCAAGCAUAGGCUUAAACGAGGUGAGACUCUUGAAAUGCUCCCAUGGCUUCUCCCAAACGACAGCUUCAAAUUUCUUGGUCGAAGGUCCGUCCUUGACGACCAAGAUCAGCCGGUAAUUGGUGCCGGAAACCACCUGAGUCUCGCCCUUCUCCACGCUCUCGAACUUCAACGCGCUCUUUGACUGUUUGUUGUACUCCGUCACCGCGAACUGCCCGAUCUCCAUCACGUGCUUCUCCUUGGGGUCCUCUAUCGGCUUCCAUCCCCCAACCAACGCUCCUUUACGGUCGCCGGCGGCCAGGAGAGGGACCACGGAGAGAAAGAGAACAAUAAGACAGCAAAAACGUUGAUUCAUUUUCGUUGUUUUGGUAACCGUUCACACCAAAGUCCGUGACUUCCGGUUCUUGAGUGAAUACUUCGCCUUGGCCCCUGGUUUUGGAUUUUAUACGCGGCGAGUUUUAGUGCACCGACACGUCUGUACGCUUUGUCUGAUUUGAAAAGGAGGUACACGUGACAGUCAGUGGUGUGAUUUCUGUGGUCUUAUCAUAUACGUGGCGGUUUACGAAAUGGGGCCCGCAUUCUUGGCGUGGCAGGAUGUGAAUACUGAGUGGGAAGGAGAAUGUAUGUGCUUUAGCACACCUGAGCAUUUACCACUGGAGAGUGAUACUGACGCAGGCAAAUAAUAAAAUAAUAAUAUCUAAUUGGGUGAGACUGAUUUCUUCUCUACACUACACCUUUUUUUUUAAUUAAAAAAAUAUAUAUUUUUUUAAAUUACUUAAUUAAUAUUUUUUCUUUGUCUAGAGAAGUGAUACUGACGCAGGCAAAUAAUAAAAUAAUAAUAUCUAAUUGGGUGAGACUGAUUUCUUCUCUAGACUACACCUUUUUUUUUAAUUAAAAAAAAAUAUUUUUUAAAAUUACUUAAUUAAUAUUUUUUCUUUGUCUAGAGAAGUGAUACUGACGCAGGCAAAUAAUAAAAUAAUAAUAUCUAAUUGGGUGAGACUGAUUUCUUCUCUAGACUACACCCUUUUUUUAAUUAAAAAAAUAAAUUUUUUUUAAAAUUACUUAAUUAAUAUUUUUUCUUUGUCUUUUUAAUUUUAUAAUUUUUAAUCAAUUCACUGAAAUAUGUUUUUCUAUUUAUAAAUAAAAAGAACAAAAUCUACUAUUUAAAAAUAACAUUAAUAAACUUUUUUCGUUAUUAAAAUUAAUGAAUAUCAAUAAAUUAAUUUUUAUCAAAUACAAAAAUUAAUAAAUAUUAAAAAAAAUUCGUAUAUAAAAAAUAUAAAAUAGAGCUCAUAAUAUAUUAAAAAAGGGUAAAACCAUGAAUUAAUUGUUUAGUUUAUAAAAUAUAAGAAGGUAGGAAGAAUAUCCAUUGUAAAAUUAAAAUGAAAAAAAGAAAGAGAUAAGUAAUUUUAAAUUUUUAAAUUUUUAAAAAUAAAUUUGUUUUGUAAAAUAAAAAAAAAAUUAAUGAAUUUAAACAACCUUAUCCUAUCCUAUUUAAUUUAGGUAGCCCCACCAUAACUAAUUAGACAGCAGAGAUAAGAAAAUUACGUGAACUUUAAAUGUGAUACUUUCUUCUGGAACAUUACAGAAUUUCCAACUAUGAAUCUUUCGAUUUUUUUUCUUUUUUUACUUUUAGUCAAAAUAAAUUAUCAUUAUUAUUAUAAUUAUUUUAUCGACAACUAUUAAUAAAAGCCCAGGAUAUUAAAUUCGAGUGAUGGAUAAAUAAAAAAUUGUAUUUUCUUCCUUCUCCAUCCCCGAUGCGCCGUGCUCAAUUUCUUCCUUCUCCAUGCAUGCUCAACGGCAUAGGGAUUGCCACUUAGGCUUGUAGUUUAGUAGUGAAUCAUUAUUUUUAAAGUUAAGUAUAAUUAUGAGGGUAAUUAUUUGAGUUCUUAUGGACUCAAUUUUUCUCAAUUAAAUAUAAUUAAGUGAAGACUUCUUAUAACGUCUUUCUCCUUUGGGAAAUGUGAGUGGAGUAGAAACAUCUUCCUCUGUGAGAGAUAUUUGGUUGGGUUUGUACUUUAUAGAAUAAAAAUAUAAUAAUAUAAGUCUCAUAUAUAUAUUUAAUUAUAAAUAUUAGUGUAAUGACUGACUGUCAUAACAAUUAUAUAUAUCUCUGUGUGUAAUACAGUAAUAUGAUGCUUAUUUGGUUAAAAAAAAAAAAAAAAACAGCAUAGAGGUUGUUCACUUUUCCCCUCCCUCACAAAGGACACAUAGCCAAUGGCAAGGCCGAAGCGAACACAACCACCAACAGUGCCAGUUCUCGCUGGAAAUAUGAGGCAGGAGGGUGAUGCAAGUUUGGGAGGCUGCUGGCGGGACGAAGAGCCGUGGCCUGCAGCUGAUCGACGCGGCGUGGACGAUGGUGACUAGCGGCUGCAAAAUCAUAACCCUGAAAUUUUAGGGCUUCCUAUUUGUUUUGGUUUGGGUGGUUUUUCAUAAUUUAUUAUCAAAUAAAUUAUUUUGAUUGAGUUAAAAAUAAAUAAAUAAAAAAUUGAAAGUUGAUGUUGUUUGUGAUGCUUUCAAAGCAAGUGUAUGGUGCUAUUGCUAUGGAUACUGGGACAGGCAAUGAUGCUGGAGUUUGAAGAAAAUUGAGUCCCAAAGAAACAAGAAGCGGUGAUGGUUGCUGAUAGACGCGGCAAAAUUUAUCGAUCCUUACGAGGGUGACAAAAAAGUAACCGUAGAAUUUAAGACACGCAUUCGACUAGUAACGCGCAAGAUGAGCACACAGGAAAGCACGCUCCUCUCACAAAUACACAAGCAAGCAUUCGCAUUUCAGCCACCCUACUGUUCUCAGUGACUCUCGGAUGACACUCUCAUGCAUUUCACGGCAUUCAUCGCCCUGAAACCUUGGACAAAGAAGGAAGUUGGUUAUUAUUCGUAAUUUCAGACAACGGUGAUACAAUUUAAUCUUAUUACACACAUUAAAAUUUUUAUAAACUAAUAUUGCCGGCACUAGCAAAAAAAAAUUUAUUUUUGUAAAGUUAAUAAAUGAAUAGUCUACUAAUUUAUUGAUAAAUAAAUAUUUAAUAAUUUACAGAGAGAUUUUUUUUAAUAAAAAAAAGAACAACCAUUACGGAUUGUUUUGGUCAUUGCAAGUUCCGGUUAGGCCAAGGUACGGUUAUUUGACAACAAGUUGGUGAAGACGAAGGCAUUCAUGAACUAGAUGAAGUUAUUUUUGGUCUACACUACAAAAAUAUGAUAGAUAUUGAGAGCCUUUUGAAUUAUCGGAGUGAAAAUGAUACACUGAUGGAAUCAUCUAUUGACGAAGAGAUUAUUCAAGUAUAGUGGAUUUCUCUAGUGAUGAUGAUUAAUGAUGAUGAUCAAUAAGAUAGUUUUGUUUUACAAAAUGUUUUCGCAAAAAGGCAUUUCAAGCAAUAGUAGCCUUAAAUAAUUACUUUUAACACACAAAAAAAAAGAAUACCAAGUUUACACAAAAAAAAAAAAAAAACAAGACUAAGUUCAAUUUAGGAACAAAUAAAAAAUCAAUAACUUUAGAUGUAGAUUUUGCAAAGAGUUGAAUGCAGAUAAUUGAAGUUGUUUAUAUUUUAUUUACUAUUAAUUUUUGUGUUUGAUUAAUUUUUAAUUUAUAUUUUCAUUAGGCCCUAAAAGAUUUAAAAAUAUUAUUAUCUUAUGCAUUAGACAAAUUAUUAAUUUAAUAAACUAGCCUAAAUCAGAGAAUCAAGAUUAUUAACUUAUCAAAUAUUUAUUUAUCGUAAAUUUACUGUAUUGUAAUUAAGAAUUUUUCACAAGGGAUAAUGAUCGAUUAUUUGCUGGCGAGAGCUCUCUGAGAACCUUUUUCUUUUUAAAUAAAUAUUGUUUUCCAUAAAAUCGUAUAAAAGCAAGUGCCACCUAGCUACAUCUAAUAAAUAAAUAAAUUUAUCCAACUUUGUUUAUUGCAGACCUUAUUUUUUACAUAUUAAAUGCUAGUGACGAGGCAUCGUGGAAGGAAUUCACUGACAAUUCAGUAUGCUGCGGAUAAUGCAUGUAUAAAUUUUUAGGGGCGCGUAAAUCAGUUUCCGUUCAAACUACAACACAUUCAAUUUAGAGUAUUAGGAUUGGAUUCAAAUGGUGAACUCAAUCUAAACCAAACUGAAUUUAAUUCGAUUAAAUUCAUAUUACAAAUUUAGGCUACAAGAGUUUCAAUCACUACCUCGUAAAACAAGUCAAACAUAUGGAAAAAAAAAAUCAAUAAAAAUCACAUAUCUAAGUCACUCCAAUCUCACAUUCAAAAUCUCAGGACCCAGUUUUCAAGAUUCAAUUUUGAGUCCCUUUCCAUAAGUAUCGCAAGUUUCGUACAUCAAUUAACAUUCAUUUUAGUUUUCUCAUGAAUGUGAUUGAAUGAUUUACUCUUGCUAUGGAUCAUGAGAUGUGAUUGAAGAAGUUCUUAAAUCUAUUUAUUAGUAUAGGGUUAGUAUACAUUAUUAGAUGAAUGAUUUAUCUUUAAUGUCAUGUGGUUGUCAAUGAAUGGUUAACUCCUUAUUUAUUAUGAUCUAUUGAUUGUAACUUAUUUUCACUUAUAACUCACCAUAUUUAAAGUCUUAGAGUAUAGCUCUAGAUAACUAGAGCUAGACUUUUUUCAACUUACUCAUAUUGAUUGUCACUCAAGAGAUGUAAACAUAAACAAAUUAUCAACAUGAGAAUAUCUUAAUAAGAUCACAUACUUAAGGGAUUGAGAACUCCUCUCCUAUAAAAUCUAUGUAUAUCACCAAGAGUUAUCGCUAUGUUUUAUUGUCACAAUCAACAAGCUAAGUAUACUUCAAAAUUAAAAUUGCCUAAGCUCUAUAUAGCUCAUAAUUGAAUCGCCGAGCUCAGUUAUAAAUUGCGAGAGCUAAUUGAGUGCAACUCAAUUACCAUCGCCACAACUGAGUAUAGCUCAGUAUUGAAAUCACUACAACUGGCAAAUUGUAGCUCAGUUAUCUCUUACUACAGCUUUGUACAUCAUAGUUAUGAAUUGCUAGAGCUAAGUUUAACUUAGUUUGAAAUCAUUAGAGCUGUGAGAAAGCUCAACUACAGACUCCAAAAUAACUUAGAAGUUUACUAAUUAACAAAAGGCGACUCAGCAGCGAGUUGCCACAUGUCACCCCCACAACAUUUUCUCUUAAGUUUCUUGUGCGUUAAUUAUUUCAACACAAGAAACUAGAUGGAUCUUGUUUUGGGUAAAUUUAGGACAUUAUUUUAGAAAAAUAGGCAAGUACAUGCGGCAGUAGAGAAUAAACGAGAAGAAAAGUUAACACUUUUAAGUGAAUAAGGGAUAGCUCAAGACAAGUUAGAGGUAAUCUUUGAAAGAGAGAGAGGAUAACUCCAGGAAAUUUGCCCAGUUUAAAAGUGAAAGUGGAAUUAAAAAAUGAUAAUUGGAGCCCUCACGUGUGGGCUGCAUGCCAUCAGAAAAAGGGUUAAAUAUCUUGUCUAUUAUGCUAAAAACAAGAGACCAAUAGCAGAAUAAUUAGCUGACAUAGCAAUGAGGAAAGGACAUGUUAGCACUGCUUAAUUAUCCCUUAAAAAAUAGUAGGAUCACUGCACCAGCUUCUGCCACGUGGCAAAGAGCAAUGACCACAUGAAGGUUAAAGGAAUGAAUUAUUCACCAAACUUACUUGGUCACUAUUUGAGGAAGGCAGCACCAAUAGAAAAUCUCCGUAUGAUAGAAAAGAUAAAAAUGUCCCUAGGGCGUUUAUCCUAGAAAUUUAACUCAGGACAAGAUAAUAGACUUUUUCUCCAUAUUUGAUUUUUUGAGAGGCUACUUCAUGUUCUUCUUCCUGCAAUUUUAGGAUUUUUUAUUUCAUUUUUAUACCUCCAUGGAAGAUUUCAGUGAUCUCAUCUCUUAAAGAAACUUUUUCAUUAUUUUUUUCUUAGAAAACUAUCUAAUCUUCAUAAGACCCACAUCUUCCUCAUGUUAUUAUUCAUCCUAAACAAACUUUAAUAAGAUUUUGUUAAUAUUAUAAAUAAAUAAAUAUAUAUAUAGGACAGUUAUUAUUCAAUCUGAAAGUCCUGGAUUGGAUCAUUGUCUGGGAAUCCACUGGGAAUCCAACGACCCCUGGUGUCUUUUUUUUUUAAUUUGUUGCUGCACAUGGUGGGGCCCACCAUGUGCAGCCACUAGGCUUUGUCCCAAAAACUGUUUCACAAUUUCCUAUAUAUAUAUAUGUAAUACUUUUUUUAUUUAUUAGAUUGGAAAUAAAUUACUCCCGUGGAUAUAAGCCUAAUGACGAAUCAUGUAAAAUCUUAUAUGCUCUUUAUGAUUUACGUGUAUUUCCUACUUAUUACAAUGGUUUUAAACUUCAUAUAUGAGCUAACAUGAGAUAUACUGAUAAGUUCUCUAGAAUUAUCUCUUGAUUGCACCUAGGGUGCCAUUAAGCUCUCUUAAGCUUGCCAUAUCAACGCUCUAUGCUAACUCCAACGAGCUUUAUUGAGUUAUCUAAGUUAUUCCAAAUUCAAAAUAUUUUAGUUCACCUUUGAGAUCACAUCAGCUAUAUCUUUUGCCCCAAAUGUUAAAAAAAACAAAAAAACCUAUCUCUGCUAGCCCAAUCUCUCCAUAAAUAUAAAUUUAUUUAUUUAAAUCAAAUUUGACUUUGAUCUGGUAAGAACAACCAAUAAAUAAUUCAAAUCAAAUUUUAGUCAAAAUCUGGUGAGAACUUGAAUAUUUUUAUAUACAUAUACCUUCUUUUAUAUGAUGUUGUCUUGAAGCUGAAGCUAGGUUAGCAGAAGUAGUAGUACUAGUACUAGUGCUUCUCAUGGGCGGAUAGAAAAUGCAGAAAUUAUAUUUUGAACUAUAUAUGUUCAAUAAAAGGGAAAAAACUCAAUAUGGUGUGCUAACCACUAAGGGAAGCAUUCAUUAGGCACGCAAAUAUACAAUAGGCGUCUUUUCUUAUAGGAAAAGCAUCAAUUUUUAUCAUCAUCUCAUCAAACACUAGCAUUGCUAUAAUUCCUAUUCAGGGUCCCCCAAUGCCUGUUACGGAGACUUGAUUGAGAGAAACCUCCACAGUUUACAAGAGUUUGCAGCUACUGAACAUCCCCAUCUGUCCCAAAAACAUAAGCACCUGCAAUAUCCAAAAUUUGUCAAUACAUUUGUAUCAAGAAACAGUAAACAAUUAAUGUCGCGGUAAGAUUAUUUACCAAGUGUAGGCAUUAGAAAGGCCAGAGCAGCAAUGCCAGCAAUCUUAAGGGGCAGCCCUGUCUUGAUCAUAUCUUGAAUUUCGAUGUGCCCGGUUGUGAAUCCAACAAUAUUUGAAGGGGUUCCAGUCGGCAACAAGAAAGAAAAUUGUGCUCCAAUUGCUCCAGGAACCAUAAGAAGCAAUGGAUGAACAUGCAUAGUUUUUGCUAUUUGGAUCAGAAGUGGAAGAACGAGAGUUGUUGUGGCAUUAUUUGAUGUGAAUUCAGUAAUAAUCGCGCUAAUCAGACAUACGAUAGGUGCAAUGGCUAAAUAUGGCGCCGCCUCCAGGAAAUCCAAUGCUUUUGACAGAUCAUCAGCAAGACCGCUAGUCCUGACUCCAUCAGCUAUAGCAAAGCCAGCCCCUAAAAGCAAUAUAAUGUUCCAAGGUAGCUUCUUGCAUUUGUUCCAAUCCAUCAAUUUUUCUCCCUUUUGCUUCAUGCUCGGAAUUAUGAACAACAAUGUUGCCAUCACAACCUAUAUUUGUGUGUGUGUGUGUGUGUGUGUGUGUAUACAUAUGUAUUAAUAAUUCAGUUAAAAAUCAUCCAAAAGCUUGAUUAAACAUGUCUCAUUUAAUUAUGUUCUCAAAUGAUAAACAAAAGACCAAAGAGUACUCACACUAGCAGUUCCAUCACCAGCACGGUCAUUGAAGAGUGCUCCCCAACCUGGAAUGUCAUCUGUUAUUGAUCUUGUCAUCCACAAUGCUAUUAGCAUCUGCAUCAUUUAUCUUAAAUUAACUUGAAGACAUUUCCAAUAACAUUAUGCACAUCACUUAAAAGGGGAGAAAAAAAAAAAUUACAGCUCAGCUCACCCCAAAUACAGCUAGUACCAUCUUUUCAGCAAAAGCCAUUGGACCUGCCAAGAAAAACACCAAACAAUAGAAUUAAGCCACUGAACAUUAAUUAGCUGUAGCUGUCAUUAAUUGGACAGACAGCAGGGUCUUACCUAACAUGUCAAGCUCUCUCUUGAGAUUUGCUUUGUCCAAAUACUCGGAGAGAGCAGGUCCAGAUCCCCUUGAACAAUAGAACAAGCACAAAAUAGCCCACAAAGCAACGAAAAUCACUAAAGCCAAAGGGAACCCAAAACAGAACCAGGUACUGAAGCUGAUCGGGUUUGCUUCUGGAAAAUAGGUCUUCCACAUCCCGACCAAUAUUAGAUUAACACCUGUUCCAGUAAGUGUGCUCAUCCCUCCUACGGCUGCAGAGUAGAUGACCCCGAGCACCACAGCUUUGCAAUACUUCCUAACAAGGGUUGAUUGAAGAGGAACCUCUGGCAAGUUCUGUAAGAUCCCAGUGGCCACUGGCAUCAUGAUCACUGCUGCUGCCACGUUAUGCAUCCACAUGCUCACGAAUGCUGUCGUGCCACAUAUCCCAAGAAGCAGCAAGGGCGGAUUCAUUGGCUCUCCACAGAAUAGAAUAGUUAUCUGUAGUUAUUAAUAUAUAUAUGGUAUAGGAUUGUCCAUACAUAAUUAAUUCAUCUUUUGUCACUGAUAAUUUUUCUGAAAAAGAAAUCGUAACAAUUAAUGACAUGAUGAUGAUGAUGCAUUACGGGAACUUACAUUUAAGGCCAAUCUUUUGUGAAUGUUGUAGUGCUCAACGGCAAGAGCAAGAAUAAAGCUACCAAGAACGAGGGCAAUAACAUCAUCCAUGUAAGAAUGAGCAACGGUGUCAGCAGAAGAGAUACCAAACAGAGGAAACAGAAACAGAGGCGCCAUAGAGGUAAUGGGCAUGGGUACGGCCUCCGUGAGCCACCAAGCGAAGACCCAAGCAAGAACACCCAACAUGUUCCUGCUUGUCGCCUGCCCAUCGAGCUUCACACAUACACAUAUAACAGCGCACAGGAGAGGUCCUAGGAGGAUGUAGAAAUUGUUUGGUGUGAAAAUGGUUUUCAAUGUGAAGUGGGAGCUUGGUGACCGUUGGAUUUGACGAUGGGAAGGUAGGAGUGGCGCCUUGAUGUCACCAGAAUUUGGAUGAGCUUCGUGGUCACCGUUCAUUUUGCAGUGAACGUGUAACACGAUACGAGAGAAAAUUGAAGGUGUCGUUCGAAAGUGGAGGUUGCUGCAUGCCUUGGCCUUUUUAUAUGAAAAAUGUGAAGAGGAGGUGGAAGUAGACAACUUCUCUUUACCAUGACCCAACGACAGACGGCCAAGUGGGCACCAAACCUCCCCGAUUUUAACUGAAAAUAUACUCCUGCGUUGUAAGAAUUGAACAAGUCGUGUAUCUUACCGUGGACCGAUGUGAUAUUUGAAUUAAAAUAUUCUUACCGUGUAAGAAUAUACUCAAAAUAAUAUUUUUUAGUUGAACUUUUUCCUUUUAGAUAAGUCUAAAACGAUGUUGUUUCAAAUGUGUUUUUAUCCAUGCUUCGAUUCAUUAUCUGAAAAAUAAAACUAAAAAAUCUGAAUCAGACUGCCCCAACUUCAAAUUCAUUAUCCACUCACUACAUGACUCGUAACCUCAUCAUAUCUGAAUAUAUACAUGUAUAUAUACACACACACAUGCCCCAGAUCUACUGGACUUGAAAAUGAUGUAUUUUUUACAGGUGGGCAAAAUUUAAUUUACAAAUUUGCAUGAUGAUGAAGCUUCCGUGUCAGCUUCGUUAAGUGGUAAUCAAGAGCGUACUGGGGUUUCCGAUAAAUCAUGAUAUUGUAUAUUUGUAUGCAAUCAUCAAUCGGGGUCCGAGGAUUGAGGUUCGUAAUUAAUUAAUAAAUAAAAUGAAAAGAGAGAACCUCAACACCACAAGCUAAUCCAAUUAUUGCUCGACUAUCCAUCACAAUAAUUUGAAAACCCUGUUCAUAGUUCCACGUGUCGGACGAUGUUUUUCGCAAUAAUGCAACGUUUGGCACAAAACGUGGGCUCAGGGGUCCACCCCGAAAUUGACCUGUUGGGUCAUAUGUCUUGUCUUUCACCAAUCGUUAAAAAGCACAAAAAAAAAAAAACAAAAAAAAAAUCUAGGAUUCCCUCCCUCUCCGGAACUCUCUUAAACUUUUAACAAUUUUAUAUUGGGUCCUUCUAUCUUACAUGCAUGUAAGAUACAUUCCUCUCAUAUGAAUAGUGUGUGGAUCCCACACAUGCACUAUUCAUGUGAGGGGGAUGUAUCUUACAUGCAUGUAAGAUAGGAUUUGCCUUUUAUAUUUUAUACGAUGUAAUAAUAGUAUACAAAUAGAAUUGAGCUUCUUUAUUUAUUUAUUUAAUACUGAUUACACACUAAAUUAUUAUAUUACACAAAUAUUUAUAAUUACUAUUAAAUAUUACAUUGAUAUUUACAAUCAGAUAUAUAUAACUGAGACUUAUAUAUGAUUACAUUAAAUUCUAUGAAAUAUAUGUCCAGAUAAAUUAUUCUUACAGAUAAGAGAUGUCCUACUUCACUUAUAUUUCAUAAAGAAAAAAAAGUUAUAAAUAUUUAGAUCCCACAAUAUUUUCGUGGGGGCUUGUGAGGUCAGCAACCCACCACUUCGACCAAAGCUGAAGUGGCAGCUUCUUUAUUUUUAAAAUUACUAACUAAUCAAUAGAUAAAUUUUCAGUCAAGAGUGCUCAAUUGAAAUUUAGAUUGCGCGAAAAUCUUUAUUCAAAAUAAGGUGGCGGUGAAUACUUUUUUUUUUUUUUUCUUUUUUGGGAAUGAAAAUUUACAUUUUGUUUUCUUAGAAUUUGCACAUUUUGUAGCGGAUCUAGUUUUCCACGUACAAGACAAUCCCAGGGUUUGCAUUUUUUAAAAACUUGAAUUAAUAUGAAAUUUAAAUAGGCGUGAAUGAUAUAUUAAAUAUAUGAAAAUACUUAUACAUACAUAAAAGAACCCACCCACGUAAAAAACUAGUAAUAGUAAAUGAAGAAUAAGAUCCUAAGCUAUGUCCAUUUUUAUCCAAUUUAAUUUUUUUUCCCACUCGUAUGCAGGAAAAGAAACUGCACACAAACCUGGUCGUCUAAUUUAGAGAGUACGUCAACACAGGCAACUCAAAGAAAAAGAACAAUUAGAGUUCGAGAGUUUGGAGUCGAUACUCCUCCAUAGGCGGCCGCUCGAUUAAUGCCAGCUACAAGUUACCUCUUUCAUUUUUAUUUUUCCUUUUCAAGUAUUUUAAGUAGACUUUAAUUUUACUAAAAAAUUAAGAGAAAUGCUCUAAUGUAUGACGUAAUGAUGGGUAUGCACAUGCAUGCAUGCAUAUAUAAUUUUUUUUUAGUAAUGAUAUAGCCACAAACUCUUGUACAAACUUAUUUUGUACAAACUGAUGUGGCAUGAUAAAAUUAGUUGAAUUAAAAAUCUUUUGGCCCACAUGAUUUAUUUAUAUUAUUUUAUAUUUUCAUUCAACCAAUGAAUUAAUGCCACAUCAAUUUGUACAAGAUACGUUUAUACAAGAGUUUGUGGCUGUAUCAUCACUCAUGUUUUUUUAUUACAUGAGACCAAUGCUUAUGAUUACAAUUCAUAUUACAUGAAAUUAUUUAUUGAUAUAUUUAUAAUCAAACAAUUACUGAGAUAAAGAUUGACUUUUUAUCCUCCUAAAUAUUUAAAGAAUUUUUUAUUUCAGUCUCAUUUUAAAAGAGAAAAUAUUAUCUUCACACAAUUAUCAUUUAAAAAGUAAAUUUUAGAUCCAACAAUACUUUAGUGCAGGGGCAGCAGCCCUGCCCCCGACUGCAUGCAUAUAUAAUUUAAGAAACAAUAUAUUCCCCUGAUUUGAGCACUACUGAAUUUUUAAUCUUAAUAUAUAAAUAAAAUUUAAUUUCUUUUAUUUUUUUAUUUAUUAACAAUUAAUCAAUUAUCAUAUUCUUUCCUUAUCUAUAAUUUUUUUUUUUUUUUUGAAAGGAAGAAAUUUCAUUAAGCAAAACUUACAAACUGUUUAACAACCACAGAGGUGGAACAACAUUCCACUCCUGGGGACCUGACAAAGAACCUGUUGCCCUCGCAACGGAGUGAGCAGCAAGAUUCGCAGAUCGACACACAAAGGAGAAUUGCACUUCUCCGAUAAACUUAACUAAAGCUUGACAGUCUUCAAUAAUCAAACCAAACCCAUUUGGACUUGAAAACUGUUCAACCAAAGCUCAGAACACUUGUAGGCAGUCCAUCUCUAUGAUAACACAUGGAAUCUGCAGUUCUUUCAUCCAACUAAGAGCCUCUCUUAUGCCAAGAGCUUCAGCCUCCCUUGCUCCAAAAAUUCCUGCCACACUCACACACCUUGCUGCCACAAAACCUCCUUGUGAAUUACGAAUCACACAACCGAUCCCAAUCUUCCCUUGAGACUCAAACACAGCUGCAUCCACAUUGCACUUUACCCACCCAAACUUAGGUUGCUCCCAACACAAUGCCCCAUGAACCAAUCUGUGAGUAUCAUCAUUAACAUCAAAUACUUGCUGUUUUGCCGCUUGCCACUGAUAGAGAAACUGUCCAGCAGAGUUGAGAAUUUGACAAACUGAGCUGGUAGUGUUGUUCCAAACUUUGUUGUUUCGAUUUACCCAAAUCCGCCAACAAAUCAUCAUAGCAGUAUUACACUCAUCUUUACUGCACCUUGUAAAAACGUGAGCGAGCCAGUCCAAAAAAUUAGAGCAAUAGCCAACAAAACCCACCGAUGAAGAAGUCCAACAAGACUUAGCAAAACUGCAGGCAACCAAGGAGUGUAAAACUGUUUCUUCAUAGGCAUUACAUACAGAACACAUAGCUGGAACAUCCACCCUUUUGGAAAUUAAAUUGAGUGCUGUAGGCAACACGUUGUGUGCAGCUCUCCAAAUAAAAUUCUUAACCUUGUUCGGCACUUUCGAGUUCCACAAUUUCCUCCACACAUCCGCUAAGGAACCAGGAGUGAUAGGAUUUAAAACCUUAUAGCAACUGCGAACUGAAUAACAUCCCCGGGAAUCCGCCAUCCAAUACCACACAUCAUCUUCGCGGCGGGAACUAAGAGGAAUCUUCAGAAUCAACUCCUUAUCUCUUGAAUUGAAGAUGUCCGAAACAACAUUAUAGUCCCAAGCUCGUUGGUGAGGCAUCAUUAAGCUGCUGACAGGAGCUGCAGCUAUCUCCUCAUUAAGAUUUGUAGAAACACACCCAUCUUGGAGGUCUGGAAGCCAAGGAUCUUUACCAAUGGAUAUCGAAUGACCACUGCCAACCUGCACUCUACUCCCUUGGACCACCACUUCCUUUGCAGCCAGAAUGGAACGCCAUACAUAGCUGGGAUUAUGCCCCAACGAAGCUCGAACUACAGAAGUUCGCGGAUAGUAACGAGCUUUAAGAAUUCUCGCCAUUAGAGAAUCAGGGCAGGUUAAUAACUUCCACAUCUGCCUUCCUAACAUCGCAAUGUUAAAUAAAUAAAGUUGCUUGAACCCAAGUCCACCACACCCCUUUGGUUUGCACAAGUAUUUCCAUCCUUAUCUAUAAUUUAAACGACUAUGACUGAGACAUAAUUUUCUCGAUUUUUUCCUUACAAUUAUUGUCUGCCCUCAUCAUACUCUAUCCUAUAAUCUGCCACGUAAUUGCUAAUAUCGCCGUCCUGGACAAGUGGAUGGUAGUUUAUUAGUUAAUGUUCCUAUAUUCUAGGUGUCGUUGCAUUUUUAAAAUUGCGGUUGGCGGUAGCCAUUUGAUUUGCUCGUCUGGUUGUCCAAUCGUCAAUCAAUUCACCUUUUCCAAGACUCUGUGAACGAGGUGUUGCGUGCCUUGGCCUCUUGGCGCUUCAAAACUCCCAACCGUCGUAGCAUGCAAGAUUAAAAAAGAUAAUUAGUUAUUCAUCUGGAGUUUAUACUUUUAUUAAAAGUAUUAUCAAAAUUUAAAUUAAUAUCACUUUUUACUCAAAGUUUAUAAUUUAUAUCUGUUAGAUUAAAUUACGAAAUGGCUAAAAGUGUACAAAGAAAAAUAGGUUUAAUGAAAUUUUUUUACUACAAGAAUAGUCUAGGGACUUAGAAUUUUUAGUAAAAUAUUUAAAAACAAGGUACAUGUCCAAGGACGUGGGCCGACCCACCCUCACACAUGAGAGUUUGGACAAAGACUCAAGAAAAAAAAUCUGGAUCACACCUAGGCCCACUCUGCUGUACGGCCAAGGCGGAUGUACGGUACAGCAGUGUAUGCAGGUUCAUAAUUAGCUAUGUAAGCAGACUUUGAACCUUUUCCUCUCUGAAAUUGUCUUGGUGGCUGAGGUAUGUAAUUUUAUUCAAAUCUAUGCCAGCAUUCAACAGCUGUAUGUCCUACUUUGAAGCAAAUCUGACAUGUAUUCAUGGAAUGAUCACUAUUGGAUGCUUGUGACUCAAAAGAAGGUGAAUUCCCAGUACCAGUGAAACCAGUACUACCAAAAGAACCUCUUCCAGAAGAACCAAAUCUAUUACUUCCCAUCAUCAUUUGAUUUCUUCCAUGAUUACCAAAAUGACCAGAUCCAGCAGGAAAACCCCUUGGAUGAGAGUUCAAAAACAUUCCUCUACCAUUAAACAUGCCAUUUCUACCAUAUGAAUGACCAUUGUAAUUGCCCUGGACACCUCCUGUAUAUCCUCCUCUCCUAGCUUGACCUCUUAUUUGAGCAUAGUAUGCAUUCAUCAUACUAUUAUUAUUCCAGUUAGACAUAUUAGCAUAGUUUCCAUUAAACAUGUGUUUUUCACUUUGACUUUGUUCAAGUCUAACUUCAUGAGUGAGUAAUAAAGCAUAAGCAUCAUCAUAAUCCAAUUUGCUUACUGUGAUAAAAGUAGCUAAAUCCAAAUAGCCAGCUCCUAGACCAUUGAGAAUUUGCUAUUAUGAUAUUAAACUCUCUUUUAUCGUUAAUUAAUUAAGAGAAUGUUUGAAUUAGAGAAUCUAAUAUUAAAAAAAAUUAAAUUUCUAAGUUUUUAUUUGCUUUAUUUAUUAUUUUACUUUCAAAUAUUCAUUUUCUUUAAUUUAUUUAUAAUUAUAACAAUUUGUUGAUCAUUAAUUUAUUUUAAAUUUACAAUAAUUUAAAAAAAUUUAAAAAUAAUUAAGCUCAAGCCUGGUCUAGGCCCUGCCUUCAUGCUUAUCUUCAAGUCCAUGCCCAAGCCCUUUUUUUCCAUCCCUAGACGUGAUUUAAUAAAGAAUGACUUGGGUACUUAGAAAAUAUUUUUUUAAUACAACAUUCAAAUAGCAAGUCUUUAAUAAAGCACUAAAUGCGUGAUUUUAUAGAAAAUGACAUAGGUACUUAGAAAACACUUCUAAGUGAAAUGUCCAAAGGGUAAAUAUUCAACAAAGCGUCAAAGGUGUAAUUCUACCCAAAAAUAAAAACUGACCUAGGUACAUAGAAAAUAUGUUUAAAUAAAAUGCCUAAAAGGUGAGUAUUCGAUAAAGCACUAGAGGCAUAAUUCUACAAAAAAAAAUUACUUAAACUCAUUCUUUAUAAAGAAUAACCUAAGGACUUAAAAAAUACGUCUAAAUGAAAUGUCCAAAGACAAUAAUUGACAAAAUAACUAAGGGUGUGAUUCUAUAAAAAUGGCUUAGGCAUAUAGUAAAUACUUUUAAUAAAGUGUCUAAGAGCAACUAUCUACUAAAUGAUUGAAUGAACGGGUUAAAAAAAGGGUCCAAAGUAUAAUUUAAAGUACAAAUAGCUCCACUCUUAAUUGAAAAUUGAUUAUAAGAAAAUAGUUAUUUUUUAGCAUGUUAAAUAUUUAAAUUAUAAUUAUGAUGUCAUCAACUAUAAACAGUAGUUAGCAUUUUAGUGGACGGUUGAUAUAAAUUGUAAAUUUAAGGUAAAAAAUUGAAUAAAUUCAAUUUGUUGUAACAUUUCUUUUAUAAGAAGAUAAACUUAAGGUGGGUGACUAAUAAUUUAUAUUUAUCAAAUAUCAAGAUUUAAAAAUUAAAUAAAGCUAAAUAGUCCCAAGCAUAUUGUAAAUUGGAUUGCUAAGUUGAAUAAAUAGAAUAUAUAACCCAAGCAUUGUUUUUUCAAAUAAAGAUUCCGGCAGUGGCAAGUAUGGGAACCUAUUUUGGAAAGUCAUCAAACGGCUCAAGCCCACCUCUGAAUCUUGAUAUUUUGUAAGAUUAAAGUGCAUCUAUCUCUAUCUUUGUUCGUGACUCAAUUUUUUUUUGCCGAAAAUGAAAUCUAAAACUCAUCUAAUUUGUCUUCCAAUUUCCGCACCCAAAUUCUCCCAUCAAUAACUUCCAGCAGACAAUGCCGUGCAAACUUGUUGCUAAAGCAUCGCUGUGGCGCCGCUCGUAGAAGCCGCCUGAAGCAGCGCCGCAGUGCUAAUGGUUGGGUCUCAUUUCAAGGACUUAGAAGAUGCAUUUGCAGUCCAACUUUGUUUGUCAUUGCAGGCUGUGUUUUUGAGAUAACAAUUACUCUACUUAAAUUAGUGGAAUUACAAUAUUAAUUGUAAAAUUUAUAUAUACUUGUAGUUAAUAUUGUAAAUUUUAUUUGAUCAAGUUUCUUGAUACUUUGUUGGUGUAUCAUGUUUUGGACUCCUGCUUCAACAAAUUAUGAAGCAGGAUGUUGCUUGCGAAAAUUCUAAUAAUUAUCCUCAAGGGCCAUCUAUAUAAUAUAAGGAAAGAUCCUUUAAAAUUGGGCAAUUGCAAGCAUGAAUGUCUUCAUCUUACACCUCAAUUCAUUAAGAUUCAACAUGGCACUUCACCUGAACACACAAACGUUUAAUUUCAUAAGUCCCAUAUCAACAAAUUAUCUAGAGUACGUAUUACAAGCUUUUGACGUCAAAUAAACCUAAACCAAAAGCUGGAUUCCUUGCAAAUUCAUCCAACGGAUUUCCGCACUUUUGUUGAUGUGUGAGAACCUUUAUUAAAAAAAAACAAUAUAUAUAUAUAUAUAUCUGCUUUUGAUCCACGAUCUUAAAGUGCGGGAAAAAUCGGAGAAAACUUUAAAAUUGUGGGGUUUUAAAGGCUUACAACUUGAAGUGCUUAAACCGUACGGUUUAUACGUUUUCCUAGAUGUUCCCACACUUUAUAUAUAUUUGAACAAAAUUGUGUUAAAUUAUAAUCAAUCCAAAGGUCAAGAAUAAUGUUGAUGUGGAAAUUUUCUUUAAAAUAAAUAAACAACGGAUUCCACUUUUUUUUCUAAAAAAUAAUAACAAUAAUGAUAGAAUCAGGAAUAGUUUUGUAAAAAUUAACACGUACAAACUAAUUAGUUGAAAAUUGAUAAUAAUUAUUAUUUUUCAAUUAUUUGUACCUAUAAUGGUUUUAUAUAUUCAAAUUUCUUAUGUCACAUUAGUUUAUAUAUACUUGUUUGUACAAGAUAGUUGUAUUUUUAUCAUUACUCUAAUAAUAGAGUUCAAUAAUAAUAGUCACAAACGAUUUUGUACAAACUAGUGUGUACAAGCAUAUGUGGCAUGAAGAAUUGGUUGAAGAGUAAUAACAAUUAUUUUGUUAAUUAUAUAGACUCAUGAUGAGUUUAUAAAACUAAUAUUCUUAUGUCACAUUAGUUUGUAAUCUCGCUCCCCUUUGGGUUUCCUCCCACAAGUCUCUUACUUCAUCCCAUUUUACACUACAUCAAGUCAGCAACCCUUCUCCUAUACUUUGAUAAAAAUGUAUGGUAAUUUAAUUGUAAACGCGGUAAUGAAAUAAUUUUUAACCACGCUGCUCAAUUGAUUUCUCUUAAGAAACUUCUGCUUUGAAAUUGUCAAGUUCAAUCCUUUAGAAUUUUAAAAUUAUUUAAAUUCGCAAGUAAAAGUAAUUGCGCAGCAAAUUGUGUAUUUUACUCUCAAUUCAUCUUCACAAGUCCAAUUGCCAACUUCUCUAUCAACUUGUUAAAUUAAAUAAUGCCUCAUGAAAUACAAAUCAAUUUUAAGAAUGUGUUUUUUUUUUUUUAAAUUUCUCUCUCUCUCUCUCUCUCUCUCUCUCUUCUUCAAUUCAGAGGAUCCCUGGAGAUUCUGCACAAGAGAAGGAAAGAAGAUGAGAGUAUAAUAAAGCGAACAAAAAGGAGAGAAAAUAGGAGUAUUAUUAAUGAGUGUGGAAUCAAUUGAAAAGAAAAAAGAAAAAAAGAAACAAUUAAUCGAUGCAUAUUAAUUAUAAGAGAGGAAAUAGGAGAUAAGAGAAUGAAAAAUAAUUAAUGAUAUACUGUGGGUCUCUGUAAUAAUUUAGUUUUGCUAAUUGCUACUAAUAAUAAUAACAAAAAAAAUCUUAUCCAACGAUUUUGUUAGUGUUAAACGAUUAAGAUUUUAUGUAUGUCCUAUCCCAUACGUCGUAUAUUACUGUUUACGGAUGAACAUUUAUUAUCUCCUUCACGGGUGAAGCAAGCAACAUGAUGUGAGUUCCGAGGCACUUGGUCCUCAAAGGGCUGCAGGUAGGUCUUGUGAUCUUAUCUGUAGCCGAGGGAAUAUUAUUAAUCCGUGCCAAAAUGAUGAUAUCGGAGACAUAAUAAUGUGUACCAAGCAUAUAUAUAUAUAACAUUUCAUAUCUUGCAUAUAUGUGCUCCUAUUUGUUAAUAAUUAAUCAAUGUAUUUAAAAAAAAAAACAAUAAUGCUAUGCCGAUCAUCAUCAUGAUAAUACAUAAUUAUAAAUUGUUGUCACCUCACGCAUGCUUGUAGAGAUAACACGUAACUAUGUAUUUUAAAUUAGAGACAAUCGUGUUAAUUAAUCAUGGUGCUGUUCGGUGGCUGUGGGCGCUAGCUGAAGAAUAAUACAUUUUUAAUGAUCAUAUGGCUUCAACUAGCACUAAUCAUAAUUGUACGAUUAUAUAAAUAAAUAUUAAAUUUGUAUUUAUUGUUAUAAUCUGAUGGUCAUCAACAUUUUUGUUCUACAGUAGAAUAGCUCUACCAUAGCCACUGCCUUAUUACAUGUAUGUUACUUUGAAAACAUAAUAUUAUUGUAUCAGUAAAUUAAAUUGCCAAUAAAUAGAUGAGAAGUUACAAGGGCCUUGUUUGGGGGUGCGUGUGGGUGUGUUAUAAGCGCGCAACGUCUAAUGGCAGCGGAGAGGGUGAUUCAAUAUCAUUUCCUCUUUUUUUUUUCUCUGUAAUUAAUAAUUUACAAAGUUAGUUACUGCUAAUUAGGAUUAGACUUGUGUUUAUCUAAUCUGCUUUCUCUUGCUAUAUGGUCUCUGCUAAAACUAAUAAGUGCUUAACUUCUGAUUGAAUUUAAUCAAUUAGGCGUGUCAUUUUCUUUCGGCAUUAAUCGUCAUAAGGUAGCUAGCACUAAGAGCGCCCAUUCCCGUUCUACUGGUUACUAGCAACGCUAAAUAAUGCUAUAUACGAAUAAAUAAGGUUUUUGAAAAACCUUGAAGCAUAUUAUUCUUUAAUUAUUCACGGGUUACUAUGUAUGUAUGGAUGUAAAUUACUGUAAUUAGUUGAAACAUACACAUAACAAAUUAUGUGACUUCAUCAGGACUUUUUUAAUUUAAGUAAUGCUUUUCAGUGGACAAGGAAUCAGCAUUUUUGAGUGGAAAUGAAUUUAAUUUUGUUAUCCAGCAAUUGCGGUGAGGUGAGCAUGCGUAUUCAUACCAAUGGUGUUGUUAAGAAGGCAAUACAUGCCGAGAGCGCCGAGUUUUCUUUUGCUUUUUGUCGGCGAGCUAUUGAACUUGCAUUUCAUUUUCAUUUUUAUGAUCGCGUGACUGUCGAUUGCCAUUCCAGCUUCUAAAGUCUAAACUGACUUAAAGAGUCGUAUAGUUUUCGAACGACAUGUCUUUUUUUUUGGAUAAUUUUUAGGAACUUCCCCGAUGCUUGACAUAUUUGCACUUAAAUUGUAAGUUUUUUAAUAUUAUCACAUGUCUUCCAUGUGGUUAGUAUAAAUAUAUGUACAACAUCAACAUUAGUAUAAACUUGUAAAAGCUCAUUCAAAGUUCAAAAAAAAAAAAAUUUGAAAAACUAAACAUUUGAAAAACUAAACAAAAAUUGUAUGGAACUUGUAAAAGCUCAUUCAAAGUUCAAAAAAAAAAAAAUUUGAAAAACUAAACAAAAAUUGUAUGGAUAUAACCCAUUGAAACACUCUAUUAACCAUUCCAAUUCAUUACCCAUCAUGAAAUAAUUGCAAUUUCUCUUCCAUGAAACCAACGUUGGCAAUUUGUUUUUUACUUUUAAUUAGCUAAACGCCAUUAGCAAAUAACUGAAGCUCUAGAAAAGUUGUUGUUGUUGUAAUCAUAACAAGACAUCACCAAUUUUAAUUGAGCUAGGAAUUAGACAAGUUUUUGUGGUGGCCGUACAAUGAGUAUCGACGGCAUCCGACAUCAAAUGUGACUGGUAUUAGGACUCGAAAGAACUUGGACGUGUAAUUUAGCUUUGGAAGCUGAGGGUUUGGAGUUCAUAAGGAACUUUGAAAAUCCAAAGGCGUAUCCAAUUAAGAAACAAUUAAAGGGCGUUGGAAGAUUGGAUCAUGUUGAUGAUGAUGAAGAAAUACAAAAAUAGUGCUCUUCAAAAGAGGGUUCAAAGGGGUGAAAAAAGCGCUACCAAACACACAAAUAUUGUUAAUUCUUCUGGUUCAUCAUCUCCCAUUCUCCCUCAUCUAGUAGAUCAUUGAGAUUUCUUUUAUAAUUAUUGCCUCUUCCUACUUCGGCCUUUAUUUAUUUAUGUUUAUUGUAUAAUUGUUGAUUGUGCAUUAUUUAAUAAUGCACUAUACUACAUUGUGCAGAAUACAACUUAGAACAUAGGUUCUGCUCUUUCACUGCCAAACACACAAAUGGCCAAUGAGAUUUGGCUAAAAGUAGCCAACUUUACCUAGUAAAUUCACACAUGAAAAUGAAUUGCUUUGCUUGUUCUCUUACUUCUCUUGGCUUCUUUCGUUUUAAUCUUUUAAAGUCAUCCUUAUUUACAAUUAUUUUCACCAAGAUAAGGAUUUUCCUACAUAGAUUCAUAAUAGUUUUUAAUUUCUAAUUUUUGUUGUUAAUCUUUUUUUUUUGUUAUUAUUAUUAAGCAAUGUAAAUUGUUUUAGUCUUUCUGUUACACUCAUGUGAUGUUUGGCGCCAAAUAUUGGGUAAUAAAUUGUAGAUAUUUAUAGCAUUUUUGGCAUUGGGUGUAUUCUGGACAUUUCAUCAGUCCAUCAAUGGUCGAUGGAUGAAAUUACCAACGGCAGGGGAGCUAUGUAAUAAUACGGACAAACUCACAAUCUAAGUAUAAAUACAUCAAAACUCAAGGAAGGUCCCUGAAAAAUUACCAUUAUUAUUAUUAUUAUUAUCAGUAUUUCUAAUAAAAAUUGCGUUACAUGUACAUUAUUCUUAAAUUCGUGGAGCAUCUACGGAGUCAGAAGGUUAUUAACAUGAAUAUGCACUAAUUUAAUUAAAGCAAAAGAUUAUCGUUUGAUCGCAGGUUAAUACCAAAUCUGAUUCGGGGUUUCUUAUCAAACAAAACAAGAAUCAAUCCCUCAAAAGAGCAGAAAAUCAAAAGGUGUGUCUUCAUUCUUCAACAAACAAAUAAAAAGUGUUCAGGCAGAUCUCAAGACUUUCAAAAAAUAAGGCCCGCCGGACCCCCAUAUCAUAUGUACUCUCGCAUCCAUUUUAGGAUGCUAACCACUAGUACCUUAUCACACACACUUCACACACUCGCCAUCUCCACCUGUCGCCCGUGUGAUAAUUUAAGUAUAAAAUAAUUACACCCUCUCUCUCUCUCCUCUCCGCUUCUUCCUCGUCGCCUUCGUUCCCCCUUUACCUUUUCUUCUUUCUACGCAUUUCCGCGUGAUUUCCCUCAAUUUACUUUCAUUUCACCAAACCCUAAUUUUCAAAGAUGUCCAAAGUACCCCUAGAUGUUGUUACCGGUACUCUGUAUCAAUUACCGGUGAAAACUCUGUUGCGCUACCGCUGUCUAUCAAGACCGCUAUGUUCAAUAAUCGACGAUCCAGAUUUCAUCAAGCUUCAAUUGAACAACUCAAUUGCAACCAAAUCCCACCUCCGUUUGAUUCUCAAAGGUUUGCAUCUUUAUUCCGUUGAGCUUGAUUCACUCGAUAAAGCUGUCCCUUUUAACCACUACCCAGAAAGCAUUUGGACUGGUACUGAAGUUUUUGGUUCAUGCAACGGCUUGCUUGCUUUAUCUAAUUCUGAUCAAGAUAUCGCUCUGUUUAAUCCCGCUACUAGACAGCUGUUUAAGUUACCCGUUGAAUAUAUUGAUUUGCCCGACAAAUCUUGUAUUCGCGGUUUCGUCUUUUAUGGUUUUGGUCAUGAUCUUGUUAGUGAUGAUUAUAAAGUUGUGAGGAUGGUUCAGUUUAAGAAAGAUGAAGACGAUAAUCUUGGUUGCUUCGUCGAGUAUGAAGUCAAGGUUUUUAGUUUAAAAAAUAGAUCUUGGACGAGGGUUAAGAAAUUGCCCAACUAUCUUCGCUUUAUGUUUCAAUUUUACUUCCAUCUUUUGCAUAGAAGAGGCUAUGGUGUGUAUGUCAAUGGGGUUAUACAUUGGGUGUCUCCUCGUAGGCCAGAGUUUGGAAUUGGUAAUUUGAUUGUGGCUUUUGAUCUUGGUCUUGAAGAGUUUCGUCUAUUGCCACAGCCCAAUUAUGGCGCUCGUGAGAAAGAUUUUGUGUUGGACGUGGGUGCGCUGGAAGGACAUAUGUGUUUGAUGUGCAAUUAUGAUUUAGUGAAAGUCGAUGUGUGGAUGAUGAAAGAAUAUGGGUUGAAGGAAUCCUGGAGUAAGAUGUUUUCAAUUGAUCGGUGUAGAUCUAUAAGUUCUUUUAGGUUUUUGCGACCUUUAAUUUGUUCAAAUGAGGAUGGUGGUGAUAAAGUUCUCUUGGAAGUGAAUGGCGAGAAGCUUGUAUGGUAUGAUUGGAAAAGGAAAAAACUGAAGACUGUGAAGAUAGAUGGUGGUCCAGAUUCGUUUGUGGCUUGCAUAUGUGUAGAAAGCCUUAUUCCCCUUGAUAAUGGUAGUCAUGGAAUUAUUCUGAAGAAGCUGCAGGAGCAAAAGGAAAAGAAGACACAAUGUAGGAAGAAGAGGUAAUAAAACAUAUUCACUGUCACUCUUCUGUUCAAGCUAUUUUCUUAAUUUUAAGUAUCGGUUUCCUUAAUUUCUCUGGUUAUGCAGAGCUUUAGUUUAUAUAAAUUUUAUUUUGAGUGGGGGACUACUGGCUUAUUGAUUAUUUAUCUUGUUUGACAUUCUCUCUUCUGUGUCCCCCGCAGGGAUGAUUUCCUGUCAAAAGGAUUUAAACUGGUUUUAUAAUCAAUUAACCAAAGACGCAGAAUACGAACAAAGUGAGAAGGGAGGUCAGUUCAUAAACUGUGUCAUAAUCUUUAAUUUGAUGCAUUCUUAUUAAUGUGCAAGGGGUGUUUCUCAAUUUACCUGAAUCUAAGAGGUGUUCUAUGCCUAAAUGUUGGCAUAUCAAAUUAGAAAGUGUUCUGAUUGAACAACUGCUGCUUAUUCCUUCUUUUUAUAUCACUGAAACAAUUUAUCUGGUUGUUGCUAUUAAAACUUUUUCAGGAUGACAUGUGUGUCAAGCAUAUGGCAAUAACACAAAGUUCAAUGGAAAUGGUAUAGAAGAAUGUUUUUAACGCAUAUCAUACUUGUGUUAGAAGAACUGCACUGGGUUUUCUUUGCUUUUACAGGGCCUAACUCUGUUUUUAUUUUAAAUUUGUCUAAAGUGAAACUUUGACUUGUAUAAGUAUUGCAAGAACAGACAAUAUAUAUAAUGACUUUGGAAGGUUGUACCACUUACAUGAAUGGCUCAAACAAAUUUAUUCCAUGCAGGAUGGAUUUGUUGUUCACCAGUUUAUGUGAAUUAGAAUAGAAUAGUUUUAAAGAUAGUUUCUCUUCCAUGAUUCUGAGUUCAGCAUUCGAUUGGUUUUUGAGGAGCUAACUUGAAAUCAGUUUGUCAGUGAUUCUUAAAUUGAAAUGCUUUGAGAAAUAAUGUGAGCGUUGUUCGCAAAAGCAUAUAGAUUGACUGCUUGGUGAAACAUACCAUGAAGAUGCUUUCUGUGUGACUCAAAUUUGCAGCAAUUAUUCCAAAAUAAAAUCUGGCUUUUGAUUGAUUGAUUGAUAUCCAGGUAGAUAUCAAGAACAUUAUGUUGUUUUGUUUAUCUUUUCGGCCUCAUUUUCGUUUUAGAAGCGAAAUGAAACUGAAAUUUUGGUUAAUAUUUCUUUAUUCAAGGAUGCUGGAUGCUGGAGCAGAAUCAUAUCAGUAUCAUUGGGCUGGUAAUGGUACUAAAAGUAAGGGAUAUAUUUACAUGUUGCUGUGAUAAAAAAAAGGAUAUCAUGUAAAUAAUGUUAAGGCCUCAUGUAACAGAAUAUGAUGUGACGAUGAUUUUCUUUCUUUUAGUUACUACAGGAAGGUUCCAAUAUCCUUAUCAACGGAAAAGGUUGAGGAAAAAAAAAAAAAAAAAAAGGAAAGGAACAAGGUCAGAACUUGGCAAUUUCUCCUAAGAGAAAUCCAAAUUUCCAAUAUCUAGCAGAUGUGGACUUCGAAAAUCCCGCAUUUGGAAGUCUCAACUCAUGAAGCUGCCUAAAUUUUUUUAAAUAAUAAAAAUAGACAGUGUCCCGAAGUAGACCUUCCCGUCCUCUCCUGUCUAUCCGUACGGAUAGGCUCAGAUCCGAGCCCCAGGGAAUCGGCCUGGGUUCUUUUUGUUUCAAAAGUUUCAAGUCAAGCCAUUGCCUAUUGGACGAGUAGAUCCGAAAAAAACUGCAGGCAUAGACCCGUGAAAAAAACUGCUGGCAUAGACUCGUGACCCUAAAUCGGCAGUAAAAUUUAAUCUCAAAUUAGCUGUACAUUAUCUGGUUGCCUACUUUUCCAAAUAUCUGCGCCCACCAAAAACAAAUCACACUCGUAUCACAGGAUCACCAUCAUGGAAAAUUAACAAGGAAGUCCAGCGCGUCACUAGACUAAACUCUGCAUAUUUUUUUUCCCCACCUUCAUAAGGGAAACAGGCAAGCACAAGCAGCAGACCAAAAAACCAAACCAAAAAUGUCCGGAGAGUUUUGAUCGAGGGAUGAUUAUUUCUACAAAGCAUGGGUCCAUUUUGAGUGAAGACACAUCAAAAGACAGAAGUUGAUUCUGUCAGAAUCUGGGUAACAAUUUUUAAAAUGAUCGGAAAGUAAAGUAAAAUUCUGUCAAGAGUUGGAAAACGACCUUUUAUUUCAAUGAAAUGAUGUAUGUUUUAUUCUAGCAUAAAGAUUACAAUGCCAAUGGAGUUUUCCAACUUGCCCAUUUAUAUAGCAUCUAUUUUAACAAAAGAUUAGUUCGAGGAAUGGGUGAUUUUGUGUUGCUCAAUUUGGCUCGCCAGGAAUAAUAUGUUUCAUAGUAAUACUGUCAGUGAGCCUCAAGAAGUUGUCGUUUGGAGUGGGCACUCUGCAAAGUAAAACUAGCGGGAGUACUAAGCCUACUAAUCCAAGCCUGUGCUGGCAAAAUCCUCCUCAAUCAUGGCAUAAAGUGAAUGUUGAUGCCAAUGCCAGUUUUAAGGAUGAUUAUGCUGGCAUUGGAGUAUUAAUCUGCAAUUCUUAGGGUCAAGUUGUAGCAGUUUCUCUUUGCAAGGAGAUUUUUUCUGAAGAUGCAGAGUUUGCGGAAGCUGCUGUUGUGCAAAAAGGAGUUCGAUUUGUGAAGGACAUUGGGCUGGCUCCAGCUAUAAUUGAGUUAGAUUUUCUCAAUAUAGUUAAAUCUCAUUAGUAACAAAAUAGCAAGCAGGUGUGAAGUGGGUGGUUAAUUUAUAAAGUUUAAGAAGUCCUGUCUUCUUCUAAAAGCUCAUUUAAAGUGAUUUUUGCUCCAUUUCUUGCAAUGAGCCUGCACAUCAUCUAGCUAGAUUGGCUCUAUGUAAUUCUAUCGAGAAGGAUUGGAUAGAGGAAACUUCAAGUGAGAUCUAUGCUUAUGUAUAUGAGGAUAAAUAUACGCACAGUUUUAGUCAAUGAAGUUACAGUUUCAAAAAAAGAAAAAAUGAAAUGAUGAAUGUUAGAACAUUUUUUUUUUUCCUUACAACAAUAUUAUUGGAAUAAUUAAAAGGCUAAAAUUUGGCGGAUGAUAUGACAUUGUAUAUAUUCUUUCAAAAUCAAGUAUUUUUUUCAUAAAUUCUUUCUUUUAAAGUAAAUAUUGUUCGCGAUUCCCAAGCAACCUAAUUUUUACAAAUGAUCACUUUAUUAAAAUUAAAGUCCAUAUAAGAUUAAAAGUGUUUUCACUUUUAACAGGCAUUUAAUGUAAAGUGAAUCUAUAUAUUAUAGAAACACAAACAGAAAUAGUUUGGAAACUGUAGACUACUGUUACUAAACGAAUUAAAAAAAAAAAAUUAUCACUCCCAUAUCUUUAAACAGUACCGAUAUUCUUAUAACAGUUAGCACCACAGUUAGCACAAAACGGUGCGUUUUGUGCUCAUUCUAAAUUCUCACGGUGGUGAGCAUCCCACACGACACACACGCAUCUCCCACAACACACGCUCUGUAAGCCCACAUUCCAAAUCUCACCUCACUCACAGCACCACAAAUCUCACCACCAGCUGAUUCUCCCUCACCACGCUCCAUUCUCACCGCGGGUCUCUCUCUCUCUCUUUCUUCAUUGACUUGUGACUUCACGCUCUCUUCCCCAAAAUCCACAGCCGCCGUGGGUCUCUCCAUAGCUGCCUUUGUAGAGUCAUCGUGUUGGCUCUCUCUCUUCCUCGUCGAAUGCGUCUCACUCCUUUACGACACCUUCCUCUCUAGUCUCUCUUAGAAAUUGACUUGUGGCUUGACUCUCUCUCUACCCCCCAAAUCCUACCAGACAAGAGCCAAUCUGCGUGAUUUUUUUUUUCCAUAAGUUUUAUAAGCAGAAAUCUUAAUAGCCAAACUUGGAAAUUGUUCAGUGGAGUUCUUUAGUGAUGUAAUCUCUACUUGGGAAAAACCUAAUAAAAUAAAUAUUAAAGACUUUCAGGAACAAAGAAUUACAGAUUUGUUCUUCCGAUCCUUCUUCUGUAAUGCCAUACUCGUCUCCUAGAGUUAUUUUUUUUGUUAUUGUGAUUUUGGCUGAGAUGAACACUUUUUUAUAUAAAAAUAUUAAUGGUCAUACUUUCAUUAGUACUUUGCUGUAGCUCAGGCAUUACUUUGCUCAAAGAAGAUUAAGGGUCCGUAAACAUUCCAUCAAUAACCUAAAGCUAUUACUAACUGCAAUGGUGGUUGAUAAGAUAAUUGCACAGAGCAAUAGGUCAAGAAUCAUACUGUAACAAAGAAAAGAUAAGGAAAAGCUUUGUCUUCAAGAGUGAAGGUGAUAGCUUUUAUUUGCCUCAAGAAAACAAAUGAUUUAGUAGUAAAUAUUGUGAAAUUUUGUGUGUAUCAAUCAACACAAUAAUAAGAACCAAAAACUUAGAGAUCAAAAUCCAUCAUGAAAAUCAGGCAGAAUGCUCAGCAAAAGCAAGGACACCAAACUGAGAUUUCUUCUUCAGCUCAUGUGGGACUGGACCAAAUAUUCAUUUUCCUUUUGGUCAAGCUGCAACUGCAAUCAACGGGAUGAAGCCGUGAUGGAUGCAAUCGACGGGUAGAGACAAAGACAGAUCCAACAACCAAGUGUGGAGAAAGAGAGGCCAAGAAUCAGGGAGAGUGUGGGAGCUGUGUGCGCGCGUGCAAACCACAAUAACAUUUUUUAUAGUUAGCACAAAGCGCACCGUUUUGUGCUAACUGUAGUACUAACUGUUGUAAGAAUCUCAUUUUCCAUCUUUAAAUUGUCCUGUCAGAAAAAAACUAUUAUGGUACUUUUAAGUUGUAGCAAUUUUGUACUCUAAAUUUAGAAUACAUAUUACUGAUUUCUUAUAUAAAUUAGCUCCGGAUAAAAAAUUAACAUAAUUAUAGGAGGCUUAUAGCAAAUCUCAUGUGAUGUGAACGCGCACACAGAAGCAGGGCUGCGGGCUGUAAACUUUUUUUUGUUUCAUUUGGUUAUAAAAAUUGGAAUAAAAUAAUUAUAAUAAUAGCGUAAGAUGCCAGUGUUCGGUGGCGACGGCUGUUGUGUUGUGAGGGUGGGUGUAUGUGUGAGUCUCGCAGCUCAAAAUUCUCAUCAAUUUCGCUCGCAAUCACUUUUCGUGUUCAUCAAGAACCACCUUUAUCUUCUUUUUCACUCGCAAUCACUCUUCGUGUUCAUCAAGAACAAACAAAUCAUAAUACAAUACCUCUAUUUUUUUUUUUCCUGAAAUUUACUAUAUAAACAAAGACUGACACAGACUCACUGACUGAGCCGAAAAAAAAAUGAAAACUGCUUUACUGCUUAUUAGCUGCUAGGGUUCUUGUUUUUCUAAUUUCUUUUUUUUUGGAGUUUUCAAUUUAAUAGUUAUCUUCUCCUUCAGCUGCUGCCGCGGCAUUUAACGAUCACAUGCUCUUACCCCCACCGUAAGCUGCGGGGGCCCCACUCUUCAGUGCCUCCACUUGAAUCGUUUGAUCACUCUUACCUCUCCGUUCACUCGCGUCCGAAGCGUGAGUUGGACGAUUUUGCCCCUAACUUAGACGGCGACGACGACGACGACGACGACGACGACGGCGCAGAAGCAUCCGUCAUUGUUUCUGUAAGAAUGCGGAAAGACGAACCUGACGCCGUCCACCACCAGCAGUCGUCAGACUUGAUGACAAAAAACGACGCCGUGCUCUCAGAUAUUACUCCUCCUGCCGCUGCCGCUGCGGCUGCUCCUCCUCCUCCUCCUCGGCCAAGACUCCAGUUUUUUAUACGCAUGAUGUCUGAGGGGAAGACGAUGGUAAUCCAAGCCGACUCGAACGACACCGUCAAGUCAAUCCAUGAAAGAAUCCAAGCGAUGACGGGGAUACCGUUGAUCGAGCAACGGUUAAUUUACCGGGGGAAGCAGUUACAGUGGGAACAGUCCUUAGCUGAGUGUUGCAUCCAAAACGACGCCGGCCUGCAACUGGUUGGCCGCAUGCGAAGCACGGGACAUCCUCAAGCCUGGCAAGUCAUUGACGACAUGGUUUCCCUUAUUUGCCGCUUAUGCAAAGGUGAAACGCUACCUCAUUCUUUAAAACACAUCAAAUCUAGAAUGACUGAGUUUUUUACCAUGACUCCUAAAGAUGAAGUUGAAUCUGAAUCUGCACUUGAUCACAUCCAAAUUCUCAUGUCAUCAUCCGCUCCCGCUGCUUUGGUAAUGCUCUACAUUUCUCCUCUCCAUGGUAACAAAGAUUGCGCUGAUAGUUCAAUUAGACAUUUUUUGAACUCCACUAAAAACGCUUUACCUAAGCACUUGCAUGCUCAAUGCGCCCCCAUCGUCUUAGAGUUUUGUAAACUGCUUAGGAAGUUUACCCCUGAGGAUACUUUAUAUUUAGCUUGUCGGAGUACUUUGGGUUCCUUGCUGGAGAAUUACGGUGGGUCUGGCAUUUUGCCAGGAGGCUCCAAAUAUGAUGAGAUUAGGGGUUUGGAUGUGAUACGGGAGAUAUUUCCUUUUGUUCGUGAGUUGGCUGCUAGGAUAUCUAGGGAUUUGAAUUCCAGUAUGGAGAUGGUGCUGAGCGUGGGGCCAUUGGUCAGCGAUGUUCGUGAUUUUACCGCGUUCUUGCACCCUCUGCGCAGGGCGAUUUUGGGUCAAGUGGGGUUUUCCAUUCCGAUUACAAUGCCUUUGCCGCAGCAGGAACAUGAUCGGUUGCAUGGGGAUCAGCUGGAUUCUAUUUAUGGAAUGUUCUGUGAUUUGUUGAUAAAAAUGGGUAAAUGCCUCGUUAGAGUGCAGGAACGCGUGAUUGCGAGAGCAAAUGGGGAAGGUGAAAUUAAUUAUUCUGGAUGGUCGCAGUAUCUGACGAUUUUGAGAGAAUUACAUGCCACAUCUAAAAUCUUUCAGGGCGCUGAAGAAGAGUUCUGGAAACUUCUGAGGAAUAGAAUAUCGCCAUUGGGUGAUCUGAUUCUUAGAUAUGCAAGGAGAAGUGAUGAUAAUAGGUGGCUUCUUGAGCAUAAGGACGUGACUACUUUUGAUUCCAGGAAGUAUCUGGUCAUGAUGAUGUUUCCCGAUGUAAAGGAAGACUAUGAGGAGCUGCAUGAGAUGCUUAUUGAUAGGUCUCAGUUGUUGGCAGAAUCAUUUGAGUAAAUAGCACGUGCGGAACCAGAGGCACUGCGUGGUGGUUUAUUUAUGGAAUUCAAAAAUGAGGAAGCUACUGGUCCCGGUGUUUUAAGGGAAUGGUUUUUCUUGGUAUGCCAAGCUUUAUUUAAUCCACAAAAUGCUCUUUUUGUGCCAUGCCCUAAUGACCGUAGAAGGUUCUAUCCUAAUCAUGGUAAGUUUCCGCUGGCUUUUGAUGCAUGCAUUUUUUAACUGGGUUCCAUUAAUGUUGUCUGUUUGCCCUUUUCCGGACUUAUAGUUACCCUAUUCUGCAUUGUAACGUGUAUGGAUAUUUGAAUAUUAUAUGCACAUUGAAUCUGGACUAUUAUUUAUUUGGCAAAUAGUUUUAAACUCUAAUAGAUACGACAACAUAAUAAAUGACAUGGUUGAAGACAUGUUGAUAUACUAGGUAGGAUGGUUUGGGUCAGUAUGCGUGCAUAUGUUGGGUAGUUUUACACAGCGCUCCUGCUGUGAUUUUACAUAUAUAGCUCUUUGGCUGAUAUUUCAUCCUAGUUACUCAUAGUGCCCUAUGUUCUAGAAAUUGCACUUAACUCUGACUUUAAGAUUCUUAUAAGUUGCCCUUUUUUUAAGAGGCUUAUAAGUUGCCCCUUACUGUUAAUUGGCCAUUUGUGAGGCAGCAGAAACUGAUGACAUCAUAAUCAAAUACCCCUCUGAAAUAUUAUUGUUAUUGUUAUUAUUAUUUUUUAACAGCUCUGUGCUGCCACGUGGCCGCUAAUAGAAUUUUUCAACCUUUAUCUGUGUGCAGAAUUCUUUUUCUUUUUCUUUCUAAGGUUUUGAUAAAUAUCUCAUCAUUUAGAAUGACAUGUCACCGCAUCACUGAAGCAACCUCAUUGCCCCCAUUAUCUUAAUUGGACCUUAAAUCAUGGAACUCUUUGAUCAUGUUCAUAACUAGUUAUCUCUCUCUUCAUAUCAAUCAGCAUCAACUAAGUUAGCCAUGGCCACCAAUUUUAAUUAAGUAUUAAUCGUGCUGUGGGUUACAAGAUUAGAGAGGAUAAGAGUAAAAAAUAUUGGUAUUUUUCUAUUUUCUUCUUCUUCUUCUUUAUCUUCUUUUUUGGGAGUGAAAUAAGUUGGGGGUAGGGAAGAAGGGCGAAGGUGGUGGAAGGGGGGCUUGUUAAUGGAGAUCUGACAGUGGGUAAUGGUGGAAGGGGCACGGUGGGUAAUCGCUGUUGUGAUUAAUAGGCUUGACCGAACUAAUUGUUACGAUUAAUGUAGACUCUAAUUAUAGAUGUUGUGGUAAAGAUGGAUGGUGAACAAAAAUUAUGGGGGCAGCACAGAUUAGAAUAGAGGUGAGGAGGGAAGGGUGAUCAGGGUUUUGAAGAGUGAGGGUAAAUUUGAAUCUCUGUAUCAGCUACUAGAAACUUUAGAAUGUGUUGUUAACAGAGGGUACGUCUCAUUAGAUCAAACCUCGAGGCUAGUAGUGUUAUAUUAAGUCAAUCCAACAUGUUUUGUGUAUAUAGUCAAUUGAAGAAAUCAGAAUUAUUACUAAAUUGGUUCUCUAUAGUUGGCAUGGCUACAGAUUAACAUCUCUGUACAUGUGCAUGUAAAAGAAAAUGUUUAUGGCCGAUGAUGCAGUACUUUUUACUUAUUUCACUUGGUGAUGGGUGGUAGUCAUGUUUUAGUAAGGGUGUAGAAAGUCAUAUAUUGGUGUCUUGAAGGGUUUUUGUAAUAAAAAUUCAAUCCAAUGUGUUUGAUGUAAAUUGUUGACUCGUGAGGCAGAAUUACUACUGAUAUUAGUAUCCCUUAUUUGGUUAGAGAUAUGAUAGGAAAAUGAGAAGGCUUCGACGAGGAUGUUUGUGAUGACACUGGUGAAAACUCUGUUGUCUUGAUUUGUUAAAAAAAUUAUGGUCUUUAUUUUUUACCAAGUCUUUGCUGGUGCUCUAGUUGUAGUAAUCCAUAGAAGCUAGGAAAUCGGAGGAAGUAUGACCAUGAUUAAAUAUUAAUUUGAAUGUCAUGAUCAUAAUAAGUUUGAGCUUUCAAAUGCAUGACCAUGAAUAAAUCCAACAAACUAACUUUUCGAGGAUUAUAAAAAUGAAACAUUAUUUAAGCUAAUAUUUUUCACAUUUGAUGAAUAUGUCUGUAAGUUCUUUGAGCUUGAUCUCAAUUGAAUGAUUUUUUUAUUUUCAAUAACUAAUGAGUUUCAAAAGUGAUUUUUCUAUAUUAUCCUUACCACAUUAUUGGUUAUCAUUAAAAUCAAGAUUUGUAAAACUGACUACGUAAACAAAAAAAGAUUGUUAAAAUGGUAAAACUUAAAAGAGAGUGGAAAGGAGGGACUCCCAAUCAUUGCUUUCUAGUGGAUUACUGUCACUACCCGCAUUAAUGACAUUAAAUCUUGGAUUCACGGUAACCAAAUCUUCCUAGAUACUCUUCAUUUCACUGCAUAUAUCCCAGAUUUUCAAUUAAAUAUACACCAAAAGCCACCUGUACAUUUCUCAUUAGUAUUGUACAGCCCAAAACUCUAAUUGCCUGUAUAUAUGUAUAUAGUUUCCGAUGAGAAAUGGCUUGCAGCAAAAUUAAAGAAACACCGAAAUGGGUAGCCUGUCGAGUGCUAUAACCGCCAAUCUUUCAACUUUCCCUCAUGUCUCAGCUAAUUUACCUACCGAUAUAAUCACCGAUAUCUUCACUAGACUCCCCGUCAAGUCUCUUAUUCGAUUCAAAUGUGUGUCAAAAUCCAUGUAUGCACUUGUUCACAAUAAAAUAUUCAUUAAGAAACAUGUCAACAGAGCAAUUCAUCAGUCCGACCCAAAACUCAUCCUGAAGAAUGAAUUCAAGCUUUUUGGUGUCGAGAUAAUCAAUGAUAAAAAAUUAAUCAGAGCUCGAAAACUCCAAGUACCCUUCGCCUUGUCUCUCGAAAAAGUUGAGAUUUCAGGUUCUUGCAAUGGCCUGCUUUGCAUCUCCGAUCAAAGCUGCAAUGAAGAUAUAUUUCUUUUCAAUCCCUCAACAAAAAAGUACAAAAAGCUUCCAGUGCCAGAAUUUGAUGUUCCCACAAUCGAAACUACAUGUUUCACUUCAUUGGGGUUUGGUUACCAUCAAGCAGAUGAUGAUUACAAGGUGAUAAGAUCCAUAUACCUUUAUGACAAGCCUUUUGUUGACAUCGACUCCUAUGAAUGCGAAGCUAGGGUUUAUUCUCUGGCUAGCGAUAAAUGGAAGAAGAUUAAUGGAGGCAUCCCAUAUCAUAUCAGCUCUCGAGCUGCGGUGUGCUUCAAUGAAUGUCUUAUAUGGAAAGCGUCGCGAGGGCUCGGAAGAGGGAUGACUGUUCUCGUUGUUGCUUUUGACAUGAACAGAGAAGAGUUCAAGGAGAUUCACCGCCCGGAAUACAAGGAUUCUCAUGACAAGUGUCAGAUUGAAGUGGGUGUGUUUCGCGGAGAAUUUGCCAUGUUUCAUAUGUGGAGAGAGGAUAGAGUUGAGAUUUGGACGAUGAAGGAUUUUGGCGCGAGGGAGUCUUGGACGAGGAUGUUUGUGAUCGGACGUCGAGCUUUGAUUAAUUUUGAUAAUUAUGCUUUUGUGCACUUGAAGCCUGUCUGUGAGAUGAUGAAUUUGAGUAAUGGCAAUGGCAAGAAUUUUCUACUCAUUGAGAAGGGGGAUGGUGAGUUGAUUUUGUAUGAUUUUGAGAAUGAGAUUGCUACGGAUUUCAAAAUCCAAAGAGCCCCAAGAUGGUUUUCUGUUACCACCUUUGUUGAAAGCUUGGUUUCACCGUAAUAAUAUUCUCCCGUCGUUGCUACUUAGUAAGUAAUAUUGCUAGUAAAUUUAAGUUUUUGAAUUAAAUUUUUACAGUUGUUUGUUUCUGUUGAUAAUAAUAAACAAAGCACAAAUAACGAUGAUGAUACAUAUAUAUAUAUAUAUUGGCUUUAUAUACCGUUAUAUCUUCGUGAGUGACGCCGCUCUAAUUUCGCCAUCAAUGAUUCACUGUAGUGCUGCUUAAAUACCACUCUCAGAAAAUCACAACUGAAAUGAAAAGCCGCCAUCUUCUGCUUCAUCUUCUCCUUGUGUUUUAAAUUCUUAGGUUGCGGGCCUAAGUUCCUAGGGCCCCAGAUAAGGGCCGAGCUAAUCACAUACCGGCCCAUUUGUCUCCUCUAUCCAAAAAUUGACAGUUUUGUUUGUUGUUUUGAGUACUUACAUGGAAUGGAAUGGAAUGUCAAUGAAGGAUAGUCACUCACCGAAAACCAACUGGACGGAUAAGCAAGCAUUAAUAUAAAUCGCAUAUCUGAAAAAUCCAAUUAAUUAAUCUAAUCGAUCCGUGGUGUAAACAACCGAUUAAAAGUUUUAAUCGUAAUUUUCUCCCACCUUUAUUAAUUACUACUAUGUAUAUGUACAAAAGUCGGCGGAUAUUUACGGAAAAUGAACCGAAAUAUUCGCACGCGGCACGCGUCACGAGCGUGGUUGGAUUUGGAUUUUCCCAUACAUAAAAAUUAAAAGCAAUGCAUAUAAUAUAGGGGUCGUCAAUCAUCCAUCGACAAUUUCAUUCAUUGUCAGUUGACUGACUCAGCUGUAUAAAUUACGGGGCCGAAAUCAUCAAUCAAGAUUUUAUCAACAUCGAUCGAUGAUCGUAUAAAUAUAUAGCCAUCAUCAUGACUCAAUUUGGGAACGAGAAUAGUAAGUUUCCAAAUAGAAAUUGGCCAAUUGUUUGUGAGUUGUGAGUUGACUUGCAAAGCUGUCGAUCUCAUGUCACACGAUAAUCAUUUUCACACUAUCGGAUAACAUCCAAAAUAAUUCGAUUGCUACAAAAAAUAAAAAAGAAUUUACAAAUAUAAAUUCCUUUAGGACUCAUUCCGAGACCAUAUAUAAAGUACUCCAUAGAAGAUGAAAGAUAUUGACAUUAGUUUCCUCAUGGUUUGAACAUUUCAACUAUGAACAUAUUAUAUUUUACUUCAAAACCGUAACAGAUUACAGUUUUUUUUUUUUUUCCGUUUGCGUGUAGAGAGAAAAAAUAAAAAUAAAUUAAGAGUCACACUAGACUUAUAGCCUUAAAAAUAUAAAAUUCAUUCAAAAAAAAGGUAGUAAUUUAUUCUAAAAUAAUAAAAUCAAUAGAAGUUAAGCGCUCAUCCUUUAAUUAAGAAAACUUAAGGAGCAGGUUUAGAAUGUUUGUUUGUUUAAUUGAAAUCGAUUGAUGAUCCGGCUAAUAAAGAAGGAAUCUCCCAUAAAAUCUUUUCCCCAUAAAAGCGAUUUCAAACACGUGGUUAAAAUGCAUGGCGUGGGAGUGUCACGAGAAUCUCAUGUGAUGUGAGCGCGCACACACAGAAGCAGGGCUGAGGGCUGUAAACUUUUUAUUUUUUUAUUUUUUUUGGGUUUAAUUUAGUUAUAAAAAUUGGAAUAAAAUAAUUAUAAUAGCGUAAGAUGCCAGUGUUCGGUGGUGACGGCUGUGGUGUUGUGAAGGGGUAUGUGUAAGUCUCACAGCUAAAAAUUCUCAUCAAUUUCACUCCCAAUCGCUCUUCGUGUUCAUCAAGAACAAACAAAUCAUAAUACCAUCUAUUUUCUUUUUCCUUUUUUUUUCCCUCAAAUUUACUAUAUAAACAAAGACUGAUACAGACUCACUGACCGAGCCAAAAAAAAGAAAAAAUAAAAAUGAAAACUGCUUUACUACUUAUUAGCUGCUAGGGUUCUUGUUUUUCUAAUUUCUAUUUUUGGAGUUUUCAAUUUAAUAGUUAUCUUCUCCUUCAGCUGCUGCCUCGGCAUUUAACGAUCACAUGCUCUUACCCCCACCGUAAGCGGCGGGGGCCCCACUCUUCAAUGUCUCCUGUUGAAUCGUUUGAUCACUCUCACUUCUCCGUUCACUCGCGUCCGAAACGUAAGUUGGACGAUUUUGCCCCUAACUUAGACGGCGACGAUGACGACGGCGCAGAAACAUCCGACCUUGUUUCUGUAAGAAUGCGGAAAGACGAACCUGACGCCGUCCACCACCAGCAGUCGUCAGACUUGAUGACAAAAAACGACGCCGUUCUCUCAGAAAUUACUCCUCCUGCCGCUGCCGCUCCUCCUCCUCCUCCUCGGCCAAGGCUCCAGUUUUUUAUACGCAUGAUGUCUGAGGGGAAGACGAUGGUCAUCCAAGCCGACUCGAACGACACCGUCAAAUCAAUCCAUGAAAGAAUCCAAGCGAUGACGGGGAUACCGUUGAUCGAGCAACGGUUAAUUUACCGGGGGAAGCAGUUACAGUGGGAACAGUCCUUAGCUGAGUGUUGCAUCCAAAACGACGCCGGCCUGCAACUGGUUGGCCGCAUGCGAAGCACGGGACAUCCUCAAGCCUGGCAAGUCAUUGACGACAUGGUUUCCCUUAUUUGCCGCUUAUGCAAAGGUGAAACGCUACCUCAUUCUUUAAAACACAUCAAAUCUAGAAUGACUGAGUUUUUUACCAUGACUCCUAAAGAUGAAGUUGAAUCUGAAUCUGCACUUGAUCACAUCCAAAUUCUCAUGUCAUCAUCCGCUCCCGCUGCUUUGGUAAUGCUCUACAUUUCUCCUCUCCAUGGUAACAAAGAUUGCGCUGAUAGUUCAAUUAGACAUUUUUUGAACUCCACUAAAAACGCUUUACCUAAGCACUUGCAUGCUCAAUGCGCCCCCAUCGUCUUAGAGUUUUGUAAACUGCUUAGGAAGUUUACCCCUGAGGAUACUUUAUAUUUAGCUUGUCGGAGUACUUUGGGUUCCUUGCUGGAGAAUUACGGUGGGUCUGGCAUUUUGCCAGGAGGCUCCAAAUAUGAUGAGAUUAGGGGUUUGGAUGUGAUACGGGAGAUAUUUCCUUUUGUUCGUGAGUUGGCUGCUAGGAUAUCUAGGGAUUUGAAUUCCAGUAUGGAGAUGGUGCUGAGCGUGGGGCCAUUGGUCAGCGAUGUUCGUGAUUUUACCGCGUUCUUGCACCCUCUGCGCAGGGCGAUUUUGGGUCAAGUGGGGUUUUCCAUUCCGAUUACAAUGCCUUUGCCACAGCAGGAACAUGAUCGGUUGCAUGGGGAUCAGCUGGAUUCUAUUUAUGGAAUGUUCUGUGAUUUGUUGAUAAAAAUGGAUAAAUGCCUCGUUAGAGUGCAGGAACGCGUGAUUGCGAGAGCAAAUGGGGAAGGUGAAAUUAAUUAUUCUGGAUGGUCGCAAUAUCUGACGAUUUUGAGAGAAUUACAUGCCACAUCUAAACUCUUUCAGGGCGCUGAAGAAGAGUUCUGGAAACUUCUGAGGAAUAGAAUAUCGCCAUUGGGUGAUCUGAUUCUUAGAUAUGCAAGGAGAAGUGAUGAUAAUAGGUGGCUUCUUGAGCAUAAGGACGUGACUACUUUUGAUUCCAGGAAGUUUCUGGCCAUGAUGAUGUUUCCCGAUGUAAAGGAAGACUAUGAGGAGCUGCAUGAGAUGCUUAUUGAUAGGUCUCAGUUGUUGGCAGAAUCAUUUGAGUACAUAGCACGUGCGGAACCAGAGGCACUGCGUGGUGGUUUAUUUAUGGAAUUCAAAAAUGAGGAAGCUACUGGUCCAGGUGUUUUAAGGGAAUGGUUUUUCUUGGUAUGCCAAGCUUUAUUUAAUCCACAAAACGCUCUUUUUGUGCCAUGCCCUAAUGACCGUAGAAGGUUCUAUCCUAAUCAUGGUAAGUUUCCGCUGGCUUUUGAUGCAUGCAUUUUUUAACUGGGGUCCAUUAAUGUUGUCUGUUUGCCCUUUUCCGGACUUAUAGUUACCCUAUUCUGCAUUGCAACGUGUAUGGAUAUUUGAAUAUUAUAUGCACAUUGAAUUUGGACUAUUAUUUAUUUGGCAAAUAGUUUUAAACUCUAAUAAGAUACGACAACAUAAUAAAUGACAUGGUUGAAGACAUGUUGAUAUACUAGGUAGGAUGGUUUGGGUCAGUAUGCGUGCAUAUGUUGGGUAGUUUUACACAGCGCUCCUGCUGUGAUUUUACAUAUAUAACCCUUUGGCUGAUACUUCAUCCUAGUUACUCAUAGUGCCCUAUGUUCUAGAAAUUGCACUUAACUCUGACUUUAAGAUUCUUAUAAGUUGCCCUUUUUUUAAGAGGCUUAUAAGUUGCCCCUUACUGUUAAUUGGCCAUUUGUGAGGCAGCAGAAACUGAUGACAUCAUAAUCAAAUACCCCUCUGAAAUAUUAUUGUUAUUGUUAUUAUUAUUUUUUAACAGCUCUGUGCUGCCACGUGGCUGCUAAUAGACUUUUUCAACCUUUAUCUGUGUGCAGAAUUCCUUUUCUUUUCCUUUCUAAGGUUUUGAUAAAUAUCUCAUCAUUUAGAAUGACAUGUCACCGCAUCACCGAAGCAACCUCAUUGCCCCCAUUAUCUUAACUGGACGUUAAAUCAUGGAACUCUUUGAUCAUGUUCAUAACUAGUUAUCUCUCUCUUCCUAUCAACUAAGUUAACCAUGGCCACCAAUUUUAAUUAAGUAUUAAUCGUGCUGUGAGUUACAAGAUUAGAGAGGAUAAGAGUAAAAAAUAUUGGUAUUUUUCUAUUUUCUUCUUCUUCUUCUUUAUCUUCUUUUUUGGGAGUGAAAUAAGUUGGGGGGAAGGAAGAAGGGCGAAGGUGGUGGAAGGGGGGCUUGUUAAUGGAGAUCUGACAGUGGGUAAUGGUGGAAGGGGCACGGUGGGUAAUCGCUGUUGUGAUUAAUAGGCUUGACCGAACUAAUUGUUACGAUUAAUGUAGACUCUAAUUAUAGAUGUUGUGGUAAAGAUGGAUGGUGAACAAAAAUUAUGGGGGCAGCACAGAUUAGAAUAGAGGUGAGGAGGGAAGGGUGAACAGGGUUUUGAAGAGUGAGGGUAAAUUUGAAUCUCUGUAUCAGCUACUAGAAACUUUAGAAUGUGUUGUUAACAGGGGGUACGUCUCAUUAGAUCAAACCUUGAGGCUGGUAGUGUUAUAUUAAGUCAAUCCAACAUGUUUUGUGUAUAUAGUCAAUUGAAGAAAUCAGAAUUAUUACUAAAUUCGUUCUCUAUAUUUGGCAUGGCUACAGAUUAACAUCUCUGUACAUGUGCAUGUAAAAGAAAGUGUUUAUGGCCGAUGAUGCAGUAAUUUUUACUUAUUUCACUUGGUGAUGGGUGGUAGUCAUGUUUUAGUAAGGGUGUAGAAAGUCAUCUAUUGGUGUCUUGAAGGGUUUUUGUAAUAAAAAUUCAAUCCAAUGUGUUUGAUGUAAAUUGUUGACUCGUGAGGCAGAAUUACUACUGAUAUUAGUAUCCCUUAUUUGGUUAGAGAUAUGAUAGGAAAAUGAGAAGGCUUCGACGAGGAUGUUUGUGAUGACACUGGUGAAAACUCUGUUGUCUUGAUUUGUUAAAAAAAUUAUGUUCUUUAUUUUUUACCAAGUCUUUGCUGGUGCUAUAGUUGUAGUAAUCCAUAGAAGCUAGGAAAUGGGAGGAAGUAUAAUGUCCAGUUAAUUAUAUUGUCAAAUCUGAAUUCUCUAGCAUGGUCAACUGUAAAAGGGCACCUGGAGCCUUCUACAGGACCUAUCUCUCUCUCUUCUUCUUCUUCUCUCAUUUAAAAUUUUUAGGAGCCUUGAUACUAAAUUUGCAAGCGUACUGCUUUCUGCUAUGGGCAGAGAAUCAUGCAUAGGAACCUUAGCGUUGUGAUCUCUUGGUGAACUAAAAGACUUUGAUGCUUAUCAUAGCACAUCUUGGACUAGCUUGAGCUUUAAUCUUCUGAUUAAGAAGUAUGCGCAUGAGAUAUGAAACCCUUUGUACAAAAGUCCUCCGAUUAAGAAGUAUACUCAGCAAAGAAAGCUAUCGUACAUUUUUUCUUUGAUGAUCUGGGGAAGGUCUGGUUCCAAGGAAGAGUGUAAGAUUAACAAAUGAUAUUGGAAUGGAUAAUUCAAGAAUAGAAAAUGGGGAAACUCUGAAGUAUACUUUAUUUGCUUCUCUUUAGCAUAUUUUAAUCGUUUUAAUUUCUUUGUACCAUGAAUUGCUUAACCUUGCAUUUCAUUUUAAUGACUGUGAUUUGCUCAAAAAAACUAACGUGCUAGCAACAAAUAAGAGUGAAAUAAAAGGUGUAAAUCCUUUGUCAAGUGCUAUUUUUUGUUAUUUUCCAGCACCAUCAUUGUCUCUGAACAUACUUGCCUUUUCAUGGACAGCCAGUGCCAUUACGAAUUUCAUAAUUAACAUUUUUUGGUCUAAUUUUUAUUUUAUAGACUGUUUGCAUAAUGUAUAUAUGGCUUACAUCAUGUGACUGAAGGAAUUUUUUCCCCCCACCCUCAACUAGAUUUGUUGCUCAUGCAUUUUCUUGUAUGUUCAGCAUCUAAGGUACAUCCCUUGCACCUUGACUAUUUCUGCUUCUCUGGUCGGGUCAUCGCUUUAGCUUUGAUGCAUAGAGUGCAAGUCGGUGUGGUCUUUGAUCGUGUGUUUUACUUGCAAUUGGCUGGAAAGUAUAUUUCACUGGAAGAUAUCAGGGAUGCAGAUCCAAGCUUGUAUAGUAGCUGCAAGCAGAUCUUGGAGAUGGAUGCUGAGUUCAUUGAUUCAGAUGGCUUGGGACUGACAUUUGUUAGAGAAGUGGAGGAGUUAGGAUCCAGAAAAACUGUGGAGCUUUGCCCGGGUGGCAGAAGUAUGGCUGUGAAUAGCAAGAACAGGGAGGACUAUGUUAGUCUUCUUAUCCGGCAUCGAUUUGUGACUUCUAUCUCUGAGCAGACAUCUCGAUUUGCGAAAGGUUUUGCUGACAUUCUUUGUAACCCAAGGCUCCAGAAGCAGUUUUUCCUGAGUUUAGAGCUUGAAGAUCUUGAUCGAAUGCUGUUUGGAAGUGAGCAAGCCAUAUGUGUUGAAGAUUGGAAGGCACAUACUGAAUACAAUGGCUACAAAGAAAAUGAUGCUCAGAUAAUCUGGUUUUGGAAGGUAUGUGCUUGUUCUAUUGCUUUCUCCAUAAAUUACUAAUUCUUUUGUGCCUUCUUCACCUAUUCACCCCCUUCCUUGCUCAAUUUUCCCAUCAUAUAUAUAUAUAUAUAUAUACACCUGCAAAAAGCAUUUUGCGAUGUAGAUUGUGUACCAUAUACUGCAAGUUAGUUGAAUCUUCUUUGUCUGUAUAAAUCGCUACUAUCAGUUUUUUUUGCCCUCUUCUGAAGUUAAUUCUUGAAAUUUUUAUUGUUUACCUUUCUCCCCUAUUAUGUGCACAGGCUGAGUGGUAAAUGGAAUCUUCUUCUGCAUGUUACAGAUCUGGGUUGCUGGUUAUACCUUCUAAAUUCUAAUAAUUUUGUACCUUCUAAACGGGUGUCAGAGAAAUUCUAGACUUCAUUUGCGGAUUUGUCAUUUUACCAUGUACAUCAUAGAGGCAUUUACACAUAAAAUUAUAUUCUAUAUGUGUAGUUGAUGUGGGCUACAAGCACUAGGAUAAUAGACUUGACAUCGAUUCUAUCACAUUAGCUUCAUCUUCAUCGUGUUUGCGAGUGUGAAAUUAAUUUACUUUAAUUUAAGAUGCUUAAAAAGUAUAGAUGUGACAUUUUGGGUCAAGGAACAUCCUGCAGUAUCCGUUGUUUGCCUCUUUCCCUUGUAGAGGUGGGUAGGUGCAUUGGCAUGCACACUAGAGGAUUGCCAAUCCAUUAGUGUGAUUGACAUGUAUUGAGGAUUGAGCUGUACUACACAGAAAGCUCAGUUGAUUAUUCUGAUCAACUAGUCACAAUGAAAAAUGAGAAUUCAAGGAUGGCUAUAGUGACAAUCCACCAAGCAUUUUUCCCUUCUUGUGUCAUCAUGACUUGAAUGACAAGAAAGGAAAAAGAAGAAAAGCCAAAAAAUAUUACCCAUCUUUGCUGUAUUUGAUCUUUGAAUUUUCAGCAAAUUGAGAAACAGCGAUUGUUAUUAAUAUGUUAUGAAAGUAUGAUCUUUUCUGGUUUAAAAUAUGUUCAGAUUGUUGGAGAAAUGCCAGCAGAGCAGAGAAAGAUCCUGCUUUUCUUUUGGACCUCAGUAAAGCAUCUUCCAGUCGAGGGCUUUGCUGGUUUGGCUUCUCGGCUUCACAUUUACAAGACCGUGGAACCCGCUGAUCGCCUUCCUACAUCGCACACCUGCUUUUACCGGUUGUGUUUUCCGUCUUAUCCAUCCAUGGCCGUCAUGGGGGAUCGGCUUCGCAUCAUCACACAAGAACAUGUGGGCUGCAGCUUUGGAACUUGGUGAGAUACUUUGUCUGCCCUGGCGUCACAAGCGUUUCUGACUGCACAUAAAUUUGUAUUCAGUUUGUACAGAGUUAUAGAAUACCGUCUUCCAUUUUAUGAUCAAGACUAUGUUAAGAAGGUCGUCUAGUUAAUUGUCUUUGUGUCGUGAAGUUUAUGGUGUCAUUGCCCUUUUUGUCAACUGUUUAUAAAAUAUAUAUAUAUAGAGAGAGAGAGAGGUAUAGCUUAGCUUAUAAAUAAAGGUUGUAGUAGCAAGCAGGCCAGGCAAGGCAAGGCAAGGCAAGGCAAGGAGGAAGAAAAUUUAUCUUCUUCCAUAAACUUACUUACUAGUAAGUAAUAGCUUUCAGUUUUUGUGUCAUGUAAGUACGCCGACUGUAUGCAAUGACAUCAAAAUCCAUACAGAAGUUUCUGCUCCAGAGUCUCUCUUCCUCUCGCAUUCUAGCAUUCAUUGUUAUAUUGUUCAUUGAAUUAUGCUAUGAUUAUGUUACAUUGCAUUACUCUUUUAACUCAAUGUUUUAUCUUCAUUUUCCUCAAUGUUCGAUGAUGAUUCAAAAUCUUGUUAAUGUUUUUUUGUGUUUGUUUGUUUAUCGAAAUUCUUUUUAUCAGUAACUUUUUUCGGAAUAAUAUUUUAUACAGAGAGAUUCGUCGAUGCGCCGAUUGUGAUUUAAGGAACCGAGAAUUGAUAUAAAUUUAGCAUCACUAACCUCGCGAACAUAGAUAUGAAUUUACGAGGAAUGAUUUGUAGAAAGAGAAUACUCAUAAGAUCAUCAUCUUGAGAAAGAAGGAAAAGGAAAAUAAAAGGUUGAUCAUAGCUCAUGUUAACAGCAGCAUAUUCAAAAAUAAAAACAAAGAAAGAUGAAAAUUAUUCAAAUAUUAUUAUUAUUAUUAUUACUCAAAUCCUAGAGAUAAUUAAAUUCACACAUGUAAUGACUAGACUCUCAUCACACCAUCCAUCAAACUCUUAAGCAGCGAAACGACCCUCUUUGGAACCCACAACUGCAACCCCGACGUGACGUAAGCGGAAAGCAUUCCUCAAUAAUCCAUCAAUCAUGCACCUCUUCAGCAUGAAUUGGAUAGUAGCAAGCCGCGUACGUACAGGGUGCGCUGAUGUAUUGUGUGUGGAUCGAAUCGCUUGGCAUAAUCCUAUGCUCCAUAUUCAAACCUCAGAUCACAACCCUUAAUUAAAAACUUAAUAAUAACAAGACUGACUUAGAACAAAAAAUUAUGUAAAAAGUAAAUAAAACUUGGCCGACUUUUGAUAGGGCUCUAUUCCUCAGUCAGUCUUGCCGACUGGAACUCCUGUGGAAGCUGCUUCUUCAGGUGCUUUAGCUGGCUUCUCCUCUUCAGCUGGUUUCUCUUCCUGGACCGGAGCUGCCUCAGCCUCAGCCUUAGGGGCCUCUUCUUUGGUUUCCUCAACGGUAACAGGCUCUUGGUCGGGUUUCACUACUUGUUCUGCUUUCUCUUCCACUGCAGCAUUAGCUGCCUCAUCAACCUUAGCUUCUUCUACAACUUGCUUGGUUUCAACUUCAACUGGGGUCUCAGCGGCUGGUUCCUCAGCAGCUGGUUCCUCAGCAGCUGGAGCCUCAUCUGGGGCCGUUGCUUCUUCCUUUGGUUCUUUGGUUGCGGUCUCAGCUUCGGUGGCAGCUGCCACUGGCGCCUCUUCCGGGGCUGUCUCGUUACUACUCUUGUUGGUCACCUCUUGUGUCUCAUUCUCUGCCAAUGUUGCCGCAGCCGAUUGAACCUGCAAGCCCCACUGAAUUUGUUUAUAUAUGCUCCAAAACACAAACAUAAAGAUAACUUCAUGCUGAGUUCUUUGAUCUUUUAUAUAUAUAUAUAUACAUACAUACACAUAUACACUCACGCACACUCAUACACACGCACAAAAAAAAGAAAAAAAAAAGAUUAUGAUCAAAUAAAUACUUAAUUAGCUAGUUCGGUCAUUAAUGCUAUAUACGAAGGCAUUUUGAUCGAGCACAGGGCGAGGGACAUUAAAAGAUAUAUCUAUCAUUAAAGCUAGGCUAUAUCCAAAUUAAGUUGCAUUUAAAGAUGAACAAUAUACGAUCGCCAGCGAAUCGAUCAAGACAAAAAUGGAAUUUAAGAACAAAGACUAUGAGCAUGCAGAUGAUCAGCUGAUCACUUCAUUAAUUCUCCUUUAUAAUCACCUCAACACUGGCCAUCUGCGAAGCAAAGAAAUUGAUGGAACACGGGAAAAUAUUCAAAGAAAGAAUGAAUGAAUUAUUGAAUGCGCUAAGCUUGUGAGUGUAGUAGUGAGGAGAUCAUGAUCAAAGACGGAGCUAUAUAUAGACAACUGGAUGCAUAGAAUGAAUGAAGAAUCCUGUCAAUUUGAGACUCUCUGUGUCCGUGACACAUAGGUCUACAUUGGCAUUGUCUAGUUGUAAUUGUAUCUUCUCUCUCUCUCUCUCUCUCUCUCUCUCUCUCUCUCUCUCUCUCUCUCUCUCUCUCUCUCUCUCUCUCUCUCUCUCUCUCUCUCUCUCUCUCUCUCUCUCUCUCUCUCUCUCUCUCUCUCUCUCUCUCUCUCUCUCUCUCUCUCUCUCUCUCUCUCUCUCUCUCUCUCUCUCUCUCUCUCUCUCUCUCUCUCUCUCUCUCUCUCUCUCUCUCUCUCUCUCUCUCUCUCUCUCUCUCUCUCUCUCUCUCUCUCUCUCUCUCUCUCUCUCUCUCUCUCUCUCUCUCUCUCUCUCUCUCUCUCUCUCUCUCUCUCUCUCUCUCUCUCUCUCUCUCUCUCUCUCUCUCUCUCUCUCUCUCUCUCUCUCUCUCUCUCUCUCUCUCUCUCUCUCUCUCUCUCUCUCUCUCUCUCUCUCUCUCUCUCUCUCUCUCUCUCUCUCUCUCUCUCUCUCUCUCUCUCUCUCUCUCUCUCUCUCUCUCUUUUAACUAAAUUAUUAUUAUUAUUAUUAUUAUGGUAAAAGAUAAGAUCAUAAAUUACAUUAAUUAUAGCACUGCAUGUAUUAUAUAUAAAAAAUAAUAAUAAUGAAACCUGAGAUGGUAUACGGUGGAGGCCAUUUCUCAUAUCACCAUCAUAUCUUUCUUUUUGAGUGGUUUCCCCUGUGUUCUCUGUAGUAAGGCACGUAAGACGACUCAUCAUCAUGCGUUCAUGUUCUUCUAUUUCUAUUUGAUUUGCCUGCCAUGUGCUUGUGCAAAUCACCUUUGCUUGAUAUUAAUUAAAAAUCCUUGAAGGUUAAUCUUCUUACGGAACAAAUGGCCCUCAAUUAAUUUGAUUUAAUACAAUAUUAUUGGCAUACAUCUUCUUUAUUAUUAUUAUUUAACCUCAAAGAAACCGAUCCAUGUCCCAGCUGUGUGCGUGAGUGGGUUCCCACCCCAAAUUUCUCGUUUAACUCGUUAAAAGAUUUUCUACUAAAUGCUAACUAAACUAGUUGAUCUCAUUGUCACCUUAAUUAUCUUUAUUCUAAAAUCCUUUUCAGUUGUUUAAGAGAUAAUAAUAUAAGGGGCUUCGAUUAUUAACUCUUUUGUUUUUUUUUUUUUUAAAGAGUCAUGCAUCUCAUAUACACAUAAUAAAUAAGAACAGAUUUCUUGGGGAAAAAAAAAAAAAAAACCCCACGUAGGAGGGCAUAUAUUUUGACUAUCUUUGAUUUAUGAUAAAAAAAUAACUAUAAAUAAAGCCUACAAAUUAAAUUAUUGAAUGUAAAAAAGUAUUAUAAUCGAACAAAUGCAAGUUAAUAAUGCAUAAUGUACUUUUUUUUUUAUGGCAUCAAAAAAUAAUUCAAGUUUUAACAAACCAUAAAUACAAGUUGAAAAAAAUUUUGAAAUUGAAAGAACUACGACUUUUACUGUCGUCGUCAAAUCGUUUGCGAAUUUUAAGGUUUUUUUUUUUUUUAAAAAAAAAAACCUUUCACUUUUUCAUUUUAAACAUUUGAUAUUUGAUAGGUAAUGUCGUAAUGAAUGAAAGUGAGGCAAACAAAAGCCAACAACGGUUCUAGGCCGGUGGCAAGUGGGACCCAGAUGUACCAAACUGCGAUCAUCACCAUCCAAAUAACACUCAUCGGGUCCCCCACACAUGAAAAGGUGACAACGUGGCAUUCUUUUCCUCCCUUGAUUCAGUCAGUCCAUCCACAUUUUGUGCCUGCCUUUCUAAAGUAAAGAUGAAGCUUUUGUUGGCCCCACUCAGAUGCUUUCCAGCUAGGAUUCUCGUGACAUUGGACCCACUUGCAGCCGUCCGAUCUGCCACGCCCGAUCGCAGUUAUCGCUCUGAUUAUGUCGUCACUACAAGCCACCGCCUCUCUCCUCCAAAGUAUAUAUUAUAAUAAAUUUAGUGUACCAAAUAAUAGUAAUCCAAUAUAUCAUAAUGAAUUGGCAUCUUUAUGAGAAUGUUUAGGACAAACAAUGUCACGUUUUGAACUAAUUACGUAUCCGAGAAUGGUGUUGGCCACCCACUAUCACAGCAAAGUUAAUAUUGUAAGUAACAAUAUUUUGUUGUGAUACCCAGAUUAACUUCAAAUUUUGGACGUAUUAAAUAAUUACGUCUCGAUAUGCGUGUUUACUAUUUUCUUGAAUUUUAGUCAUUUAUUUGAAAACUUGAUUAAAAUUAAUACACAGGACUGUAUUGAUUAAAGUUUUCAUCAAAUAAUAUGUUUCUUCAUGAAAAAAAACAAAAAAAAAAAAAAGUGUCUGUGGAGCGUUAUUAUUAAUCAAAUCUUUUUUUGUUUUAAAAUUGAAAAAAAGGCAACAUUCUUCUCUUGUCCUAUUACAUUAUGAUAUUCUAUUGCCAUGCUCAUCAACAAUUUGAAAAGGCUUCAACGUCUUUGCUUCUUUAGCAAACUCAUUCCUACACUGACUCUCUCUGUAAAGUGAAAAAGGUUUAAGGGAAAGCAGGGCGGUGCGGCACGAAGGCCCCACCAAAAGUAUGUUGAUGAAUUUGGUUGGUCGAGCUGUCAAUCUCCGCAAAUGGGCAUGUGACGCGUGUAUUCCUUGACACCGUGGACAAACAAAAACCUUAGUUCUCUUAAUUAUAUGGCUUCCCUUAUUAUUUUUUUUAAAUCUUCUUUUAGGCAUUGAAUAUUGAUAGUCAUGGGUCCGUGCGACAUUGCCACCAUGGGUGUUACAGUCAUCUUUCUCUCUAAAGUUCAUUUUGUAAACGAGGAGGGCCACGGCACGGGCAUCACCUGAAUGAAUCACUUUACGCUUUGACGAGGUGGACCCAUCAAUUGUCAAUCUCGCGGGACACACGCAUUCUUAAUUACCCGAAGGGAAGAUGUUUCGGUCCCUCGCUUGCGUGCUCCUUGACAAUCCACCACCAAUUACUUGCUAUCUUGUAAAUCACUUGUCAUGAUCACGGUUACAUUUUAUAUCACUUGUCAUGAUCACGGUUACAUUUUAUUUUAUUUAACUAACGAGUGUAUAGUAUCCUCCACCAUCUAGAUUCUAGAACAAAUCAACCAUUGGAAUAAUAGGCUUAAUUGCCACCAUUCGUGAAGUUUCGAUCAAUGUCUGCUAUGAUUAGCAACAACACAACAUCGUGGCUUUGCUUGAAUCGCCGAGGAGGGGGCCUCCCUUUUGAUUGAUUUAUUUAAUUUAUCAGUUGUGGCAACUAGCUUUUGUUUUGUUAUUACCUUUCUUUUUCAGCUUGAAUUUAAGCAUUGGCAAUCAAUCAAACCCCAAGCUGCUAUUAGUAAUAGUAAUGGAGUGGGGUCUUCAGUAUGAAAUGUCAAUUGAGGCUUGAUGAAUUUCAAACUUAAUUCGCCCACCAUUAGAGGUAGAUUGAAUCUUUAAUGCUUUGAAUCUUUAAACGGAUUUUUAAUGGUGUGGCCAGAGUUAAAAAGAAAAGAGUAACUACUUUAUAUUUUAAGAAAAUUCACCAUCGAAGCAGCACAGGCUUUCAGAUGGUGAUAAUUAACUGCAUACAACUGGCCGAUGAAUGAUGAUAUUUAAACCAUAAAUUACUCCACCAACUCUACAACGCAUGUUUAGUUAGUAAAACCAAAAAUUUCUCAAAUAACGAUGCUUAACUUACAAGAUAAAACUGGGAAUUAAAACAGUGGUUUAUAGAAGAUUUAAAGUCAUGCUGGCUUCAAAGCCGUUCCCAGAGGUCCACCAAAUGGAUGAAAAUCACCAAGGAACCAUUCCCGAUGCUAUAAUUCAACAAAUAACAACAGAUCACCAUUGUUCAACCGACAAGAUCUUUCAAUACUGUUUCAGCACGCUGCUCAAAUUUUGGUAAGGCCCAUUCAUGCUGAAUUAUGUCCAGACUGUCUUUCUCAGCACCCAAGCUCUAGGAAAAAUUUGAAAAAAAAAAAAAAUUCAAAUUCAGGAGAUAUUUCAAGAGACAACUUGCAGAUGAUCCCAUGUAAUAAGUUUCAAACUGUAAAAUAGGUUCUGAAGUUCAGAAUUCCUAUCCUUAUGUCUUCCCUAUGUAAGUUCAGAAUUCCUAUCUUUAUAUGUAAGACAUUCAAGUUUAUCCAUUUACAAACAAGCAGAUCUAUGCCUAAUCACCUCAUGAUUGAUAUCCCUCUGAAAAGAAUGCUGCAUUCACGGCUUUCCCAAAUUAAUUUGCCAAAAAUAAUCCAACUGGCUUUCAGGAGGAACAUAUACUAUAGAUAUGAGCAAAAGUCUCAGUACUAAAUCUACUUCAAAUGAAGGUGUAUACCAAAACCCCAAAGGAUGGAAAACUUUCUGAAGUUGCUAAGAAAAGCUAUCCAUUUUUUCAAAAAGAUGAGCAGGGCUGAGAAAUGGCUACAUCUAAUAGUUGAAUAGGUUGAACCUACCGAAGCAUAUUUAAUAUGACACUGAAGGGCAAACGUUAAAGACGAGCAAAAAUUAAAAGAGAGAGAGAGAGAGAGAUGGAAGAGAAAGCCUCAUUAAGCAUUAGAAAAUGAACAAGGAGCCACUUAUAAUUAUACCUUGCUUGGGUCAAAGCCAAACCCACUCAUUUGCAUCAUACGCUGAGUAUCAUCAGUAGCUGCAUUUAAAGCGUCAUGGAUUAAGGUCAUUAUUUCAAAAGUAACUAAAAGCACUGCUGAACUGGACAAAUUAAUCAAACUCAUGGUGCUUCCAAUACUAACCAUUUUCUUCCCCCAGAAUGAGGCUAAAUAAACCCCUCAGUCCAAACAAAUUGAGGAAGUACCUUAAACAAACAUAAAGGAGAUGUCAAUGAUAGGAGACAAAAAGUCAAACAGCUGCCAAAGAUUAAAAAGCAGAGCAACAAAAGGCAUGGUAAGCAAGCUUCUCAUUAAUAACAUUGGAAAAUUACCAUGAACGACUACUGACAUAGCUUACAUCAACAGUGCUCAAGUCAAUCCCAUUUUGUAACAUUGACCUGAACCUCUGAGUCAGUGGGAAUGGUAUCUUGGCUGUGAAGGUAGUAUAAGCAUGCAUCAGAUAUAUAUUACAAACAAAAAAAGCCAUUUACAAAAUAGUAAGAUCAAUAUAGUCUGGAAAAAAAAAUUGAGAAACAUCAGAAAGAAACAAAAAUACUAAACAGCAAAGACUAAUAUUAUCAAAUAGCCCUUCUCAACAGUUGAAACAAAACAAAGCAAACCAAAGUUAACAACAAACCUGCAACAAACCCAGAGAAGAAAAAGUUGACCCAAGCAAAAGUAAGGGUCUGUCCAGCAGGGAGAAAACAUAAAAGAAAUUGUCAGUUAUCCUAUCCAAGAAACAUCACAAAAAGAACAGCAGUAACUCUUCAGUUUGCAUUACCUGGGGUAUGAUCAUUGAAAGAUUUUUCUUCAUCAUGUCCAUUGCCAUGUUAGGAUCGGAAAACAUUUGCGCUUGCGCAUUUUGUGCCUGACCCUUUGGCACAUGCAACAAUCCAUUUUCCUACCACCACACAAGAAAAGCACAAUACAAACAAACAUAUGUAAAUACGUACGUGUAUGUAUGUGUGUGUGUGUGUGUGUGUGUGUGUGUGUGUGUGUGUGUAUAAAUAUAUAACUUAAAUCACGGGAAAAGUCUGAAUCUUCUUUCCAGUAAGACCUAAAUAUAGAAGCGUAAUACUACACAUUAGAACUCCAUAUGCAAACUGAUGUAGCACUAGUACAUCAUUGCCUCUUGUGUCAUUGAAUUAAAUUGGCUUCAAAAUUUUGACUUCAUUGAUUUUCAUGCCUCAUCAGGCUGUAAGGAAGAUUAUAUGUUAAUUGUUCAUAGAAAGGCUGUGGGUGCUUUAGAUAUUGCAACAAAAGUUCACCACCUAGAAGUUAGAAAUUCAGAAAAGGUUUGAUGAAUUUCAAAAUUUUACCUAAGAGUACGGGGAAUGUGUCCGAAAUUUACCCUGAAACUACAGUAUUUCUAAGAAUCGGCAUAAAAAAUUUAAAAACUUUCC
rnacentral:lncRNA from 1 species